rnacentral:lncRNA from 1 species
UUUUUUUGUAUGUAAUUUUGGUAAAUGUAUAAGUAGAUUUGUAAUUUGCAAAUUAAUUCAAGUCAUUUUAGCCCUAGUAAUAUGGAUGUGAAGGAGGGAAGUUAGGGAACUGUAGCUUAGAUGAUUUCUCUCCUUUAUGUUAGAGGAUCCACUUCCGUUAAAAUAUACACAGUCAACAUUAACGCACAUACAAAAAUCACACGGGCAACUAGGAAAGUGAAAGUUCUAGUUAUCGACUAGACGGGGGGUGAAUAGACGAUUUUUAUGAAAGUCUUCAAAACUCGAGGUCUUUGAAGACAAACAGUAGAAAUGAAACUACUGAUAUGCAGCGGAAGGUAGACUACACUAGACAAGCCAUAGUCAAGUAAGCAAUGAAGUGAAAGUACGAAGACUAUCAGCAGCUAGAUAGUAUGGAUUAGUAUGGAAGACAGUAUGACGCCAAACAGUAAAUAGUCUUCACUCAGUGAAGUCAAUCAGAUCAAACAAGCAGGCAAUGACUUCACGAAGACAAACUGUAAAGUAAAGGGAAGUGGAAGAUAGAACCAGUUGCUUGGUGAAGACAAGGAUUUGGUAAACCAGUUCCAGUUGCUGUGACAAUUGUACGUCUGGUUAGGGAGGCUGAGAUUCAACUUAGAAGACCGUGUCUUCACCUUAUUCACCUUGAGCUAAGGACACCCAGUCCUCGCCCAAUCACUCUGGUAAGUCUUCAAGGUAGACUUCCAAACCUUCACAGACUUCGUUCACCGGCAAUCCACAAUGGCUCUUGGAUGCUUAUAACGCGACGCCUAACCGGCUGGAGGAUUGACAGUCCUCAAGUGUAACAAGUCUUCAGAUCACGCGGACAGAAAGACUUUAGUGAUGCCUAAUACUCUUUGGCUCUGGGUGUUUUGGGCUUUGUCCUCGCAAGGAUCUCUCUCUCAAAUGCUUCGGAGGUGGGUUGCUCUCAAACGACAAAAGCCGUGCACUAACUCUGAGCAGCCACCAAUUUAUGGUGUAGGGGGUGGGCUAUUUAUAGCCAGGAGGCAACCCGACCUGAUUUGUCCGAAAUGACCCUGGGUCACUAAGGAACCGACACGUGUCCAAUGGUCGGAGUUCAAACACACGCGACAGCUUGACUUGGGCUACAAGUAAAGCUGACUCAUCCAGCUCUGGAUAAGAUGUGCUCUCAUUGUCUUUGCUCGAAGACAUAGGAUUUGGUUGAGCAUCACUUCAGUCACUCUGACUUUGUUCACUUGGACCCCACUUAACAGUACGGUGGUUCCUAUGACUCAACAAAGAAGAAAAGGAAACUACGAAUCAACUAUGUCUUCGCACUCCAUAGUCUUCACAGAGUGUCUUCUCAUGUCAUAAUCUUCAUCAUGAAUGUCUUCACGAACCACCAUUGUCUUCAAUGUAUUCACACAUUUUUAGGGGUCAUCUCUGGUAGGUAAACCGAAUCAAUAAGGGACUACUACCUGUGUUAUCCUGCAAUUCUCACAAACACAUUAGUCCCUCAACCAAGUUUGUCGUCAAUACUCCAAAACCAACUAGGGGUGGCACUAUGUGCACUUACAAUCUCCCCCUUUUUGGUGAUUGAUGACAAAUUGGUUGAAGUUUUCAACGGGGAUAAAAGUAUGUGAGAGUUAAGGAUAAGGCAUUGUCUUCAUAAGUUGGAAAAAGGCUCCCUCUGAAGAUGUGCAUAUAAGUAAUUUGCUUUUGAAUGCAAAUGCACAUGGCAGGUUUUACUUUGUGGAGAUCCUCUUCAACUUACGAAGACAAUUCAUCAUGCAUAUAUAAGAAUAACGAAGAUAAUGACAUGCAUAAUGAGAAAUGGGCAUCUGCAGAAUGACUUCAUGCGGAAUUUAUCAUCGCAUCACAAAGUAGCAACAGAAGUAGUAGACGACCAUCGAGUUUAAGCGGUACAACUCAAAAGCCAAAUAGUUUCAAAACGAGAGUUGUAAGAACUUAGCAAAAAAUAAAGCAACCACCCGUAUGGACCCGCUUGAAGACUAUCAACAUCAUAUGCUUCUCCCCCUUUUGUCAGUAAUAACCAAAAGGUUUGAAGACACAGAGGAUCUACUCGUUCCCAGUUGGAGUAGAAGAUGGAGCAGGGUCGUCGUUGGAGUUUGGUGGUGCAGACGGGCCUGACGCAGAAUCGUGAUGCAGUGCAGCCAAGGUUGGUGAAGUGGCGUCGUCUUCUUCAUCGACGACUCUCGCAACAACAGUUGCAGCCGAAGAUGAAUGCUCAGAAUCUUCAAUAGAGGGAGUGCGACGCCAGCUUGCAUUUUCGGGAGGCCUGGAGUCAAACUUGAAGUGCUCUGUGAAGCCAUCUUUGCGAAGAUCUUCUUCAGGGCAGAGCAUUGUGAGGCUCUUCCAAGACCGCCUACAGGCUUCAUGUGCAACAAAUGAGUUCUUGGUGGCCAAGUUGUGAAUUCGAUUGACAUCCACCAAGAGACUCUGCAUCUGAUGCUUCAGCCAGUCAUGAUGCCUAUCCUGCUUUGAUGUAAAGCCACCAGAAGCUCACGGUCGUUGAGAACACGAGGACGCUUCUGAGGCCUUUGAGCUAUGGUGCUUGCAGUGGCUUCAGUGUUGGCUCGGUGCGGUAUGCGCAAGUUGCCAGCCAGAGGAUAUGCAGGAGUUGCAGCAUUGGGCACAUGAAUCCCUUCAAUAGGCUGCAUGAAGCUCUGGAAUUCCGCAUUCUGAAGGUGGAGCGGCUUCUUUGCAGGCUCGGGGUAGAUGGCUUCAAUAAACAUAUCAACUUCAGGCAAAAAGACAAUAUGGUCGCACUGAAGGCUGAUAGUCAAUGGUUGAAUGAAGCUUAAUCAAGCGCAUCACCCAUGGAGCAUAGAAUUUCAGACCAAACAGAUCAAUCCCAGAAGCUGCAAGCUGUCGAAUAAAGAAAUCCUGAGUGUUGAAUCUGAUGCCAUUGAUGAUAUAGAAUACUAAAGUCUUCAUGGCGCCGUCAAGUGUAGCUUCAGAAGAAUUUCCUUUGAUAGGCCAGAGAGUACGCCUCAGAAUGUGGUACACUGUGUGUGGCAAGUACUCAAGGUCCUUGACAAAGAACUCCUUUGGGUAUUCAACGUCUUGGGGCAAUGGCUUCAUCAUGCUUAGCAUUUGGCUCAUAUUUGGCUCUGGCUUCUGAAAAAUGCUCCGCAGCUCAUUCUUAUGAAGCUGACAACCAGGUUCAUAUAGUUCACCUAGAGUGAGCAGGGAAGUAAGCUCGAUGAUAUCCUGAGCUUUGGCUUCGUGAUGAACAUCACCUGUCAUCCACUCAAGGAUCCAAGUCUUCGGAUCCCUGUUGUAGCCUCGUAUAUGGAGAGUAGCAUAGAACUGCAACAGAAGCUCUUCGUUCCAAUGUUCGUUGUCAGUCACAAAGGGCAGAAGACCAACAUCCCGAAAGCAGUCAAGGGCCUCUUCAAGACAUGGCAGCCCAGCCAUAGCAUCACAAUCCAGACGUUUGUGCGGAAAAAUCCGGUCUUGGUUGUACAGGAUGCAAGAGUAAUAGCUUCGCUGUUGAUGGCUCCAAAAUCUGUCAGAGGUGAUCUUGGGCUUCGUGUAAGGGUUCUUGGCGCUGUCAAAGAAAGUAUUAUGCUAACUGAAGCUGAGCACGCUGAAUGAGCCCUGUGUGGUGACAACACUUGGAAGCCUUGGCAGACGUGACUUUGGCUUCUGAACUUGAGGCCUUUGCUCCACAUGAUAAUCAUACUGUGGCCCGGGAGCAGUGGAGCCAUCGGCAGUGACAAGCUCACCACCACGAUUUUAUGCACGUUCCAUGGUGUGAGGCCUUGGGGAAGGAACAACGCCAUCAUAGGUGAUUGGCGGCACAGUGGCUUCAGCAUUCACAUUAGCUUCAGGCUCCACAUUGUCUUCAGCCAUGACUGAGUCAUUGGCUUCAGUGGCGUUGUUGGUGGCAGCCUUAGUGUUUUCAACCUCCAUCUGUUCAACGACUGGAGGGUCGGGCACGAUCACAAUCUCUUGAGGAAUGACUGGAUCACUGGCAGGGGGUGUGGCUUCUCUUUCUUCUCCUUUAUCUUCUUCUCUUUCUUCCUCGGCUGAUGCAGCCGGAAUUUCUUCAGCAGUCUUGACUUCAGACUUUGAGGCAGAUGCAGAAGGAGUGGCUUCAGCAAACACUUGACGUGCUACGGAGCUAGUGUGUUGCACUUCUUCCUCUGGAAUGCGCGACGUGGAGCCCUGUGGCCUGAGGCCUUUGCGAAGCCUGCGAAACGCGGGUGACGCCUUUGGUGAAGGAGUGGUCUCCAUGUAGUUGUCAUCAUCAAGCACCAAAGAGGUGACUUGAGCAGGUGGAGUACGUGGUGAUUCAUCUUGCACUGGGGUGUCUUGUUGUUGGCGCUCAACCCAUGAGUCAUUGAUGUCUACUACACAACCUUCUUCUUGUAGACGUUGUUGGGCCUCCAAGUGCAGAGGUUUGUAGGACAGUAGCAAAUUUCCCUCAAGUGGAUGACCUAAGGUUAUCAAUCUGUGGGAGGCGUAGGAUAAAGAUGGUCUCCCUCAAGCAACCCUGCAACCAAAUAACAAAGAGUCUCUUGUGUCCCCAACACACCCAAUACAAUGGUAAAUUGUAUAGGUGCACUAGUUCGGCGAAGAGAUGGUGAUACAGUGCAAUAUGGAUGGUAGAUAUGGGGUUUUGUAAUCUGAAAAUAUAAAAACAGCAAGGUAACAAGUGGUAAAAGUGAGCGUAAACGGUAUUGCAACGCGUUGAAACAAGGCCUAGGGUUCAUACUUUCACUAGUGCAAUUUAUCUCAACAAUAAUAACAUAAUUGGAUCAUAUAACUAUCCCUCAACAUGCAACAAAGAGUCACUCCAAAGUCACUAAUAAAGGAGAAUAAACGAAGAGAUUAUGGUAGGGUACGGAACCACCUCAAAGUUAUUCUUUCUGAUCGAUCUAUUCAAGAGUCCGUAGUAAAAUAACACGUAGCUAUUCUUUCCGUUCGAUCUAUCCUAGAGUUCGUACUAGAAUAACACCUUAAGACACAAAUAAACCAAAACCCUAAUGUCACCUAGAUACUCCAAUGUCACCUCAAGUAACCGUGGGUAUGAUUAUACGAUAUGCAUCACACAAUCUCAGAUUCAUCUAUUCAACCAACACAAAGAACUUCAAAGAGUGCCCCAAAGUUUCUACCGGAGAGUCAAGACGAAAACGUGUGCCAACCCCUAUGCAUAAGUUCACAAGGUCACUGAACCCGCAAGUUGAUCACCAAAACAUACAUCAAGUAAAUCACGUGAUAUCCCAUUGUCACCACAGAUAAGCACAUGCAAGACAUACAUCAAGUGUUCUCAAAUCCUUAAAGACUCAAUCCGAUAAGAUAACUUCAAAGGGAAAACUCAAUCCAUUACAAGAGAGUAGAGGGGGAGAAACAUCAUAAGAUCCAACUAUAAUAGCAAAGCUCGCGAUAUAUCAAGAUCGUACCACCUCAAGAACACGAGAGAGAGAUCAAACACAUAGCUACUGGUACAUACCCUCAGCCCCGAGGGUGAACUACUCCCUCCUAGUCAUGGAGAGCGCCGGGAUGAUGAAGAUGGCCACUGGUGAGGGAUCCCCCCCUCCGGCAGGGUGCCGGAACAGGGUCCCGAUUGGUUUUUGGUGGCUACAGAGGCUUGCAGCGGCGGAACUCCCGAUCUAUUCUGCUCCCCGAUGUUUUUAGGGUAUAUGGAUAUAUAUAGGCGAAACAAGUCGGUCAGGGGAGCCACGAGGGGCCCACGAGGGUGGAGGCGCGCCCAGGGGGCAGGCGCGCCUCCCUGCCUCGUGGCCAUCUCGAAGCUUCCCUGGCAUCUACUCCAAGUCUCCUGGAUUGCUUCUGCUCCAAAAAUAACUCUCCUGAAGGUUUCAUUCCGUUUGGACUCCGUUUGAUAUUCCUUUUCUUCGAAACACUGAAAUAGGCAAGAAAACUGCAAUUUGGGCUUGGCCUCCGGUUAAUAGGUUAGUCCCAAAAAUAAUAUAAAAGUGUAUAAUAAAGCCCAUAAACAUCCAAAACGGGUAAUAUAAUAGCAUGGAACAAUCAAAAAUUAUAGAUACGUGGGAGACGUAUCAGCAUCCCCAAGCUUAAUUCCUGCUCGUCCUCGAGUAGGUAAAUGAUAAAAACAGAAUUUUUUAUGUGGAAUGCUACCUAACAUAUUUAUCAAUGAAAUAUUCUUUAUUGUGGCAUGAAUAUUCAUAUCCAUAAGAUUCAAGACAAAAGUUUAAUAUUGACUUGAAAAUAAUAAUACUUCAAGCAUACUAACAAAGUAAUCAUGUCUUCUCAAAAUAACAUGGCCAAAGAAAGCUAUCCCUACGAAAUCAUAUAGUCUGGCUAUGUUCUAUCUUCAUCACACAAAAUAUUCAAAUCAUGCACAACCCCGAUGACAAGCCAAGCAAUUGUUUCAUACUUUUGAUGUUCUCAAACUUUUUCAAUCUUCACACAAUACAUGAGCGUGAGCCAUGGACAUAGCACUAUAGGUGGAAUAGAAUGGUGGUUGUGGAGAAGACAAAAAGGAGAAGAUAGUCUCACAUCAACUAGGCGUAUCAACGGGCUAUGGAGAUGCCCAUCAAUAGAUAUCAAUGUGAGUGAGUAGGGAUUGCCAUGCAAUGGAUGCACUAGAGCUAUAAGUGUAUGAAAGCUCAACAAAAGAAACUAAGUGGGUGUGACGCCCGGAUAAUUAAGCUACAGUAAUCCCACGUUAAUGAUGCCACGUCACCUUGGUUAUUGUUGCUAAUCUCGCGUUAGUUCGAAACCGAUUCAAAUUCAAAAUUUAAAAUCAAGCAAACAAUAAAAGUUUUCAAAUAUUAAAACUAAAAUGUUCAAUAAAUAGUAGAUAAAUCAGAGGCUAUGAUAAAAUUGUAAACAACAUUAUUGAAAUUUGAUUGGUGACUUAAACAACCUCAAACAGUGGCUGAAAACAUUAUUUAAUAACCUUUUAUUAAUACAAAAUAAAUAUGAAAUGAUAUUUACGCCAAACUAGUUUUUGGUGGUAGGAUAUAUUGUGCUGUGAUUUGUGGGCCAGCUCUCAUAUUUUACAAAACUCAUUUGGUGCCCAGACAAUUAGCCAAAAUAGAAAAGAGAAUAAAAUAAAAGGAAAUGGCAAAACUGUAACAAAAACAAAAGAUAAAAUAAAAACAAAAGGCCCCCAGCCCCUCCCCCACUGGGCCUCUUGGCCCAGUCGGCUCAGCUGACCAGGCCGACCCAGCCGGCCCACCCCGCACCUCCCCUAGACUAUAUGGCCCCUUGCCCCCCCCCGAAACCCUAAAACCGCUACCCCCCCGAUCCCCCACUCUCUCCACGUGCCCCCCACCUCUCGGUCCCGAUCUGGAUCGGGGACAGCGGUUCCNNNNNNNNNNNNNNNNNNNNNNNNNNNNNNNNNNNNNNNNNNNNNNNNNNNNNNNNNNNNNNNNNNNNNNNNNNNNNNNNNNNNNNNNNNNNNNNNNNNNNNNNNNNNNNNNNNNNNNNNNNNNNNNNNNNNNNNNNNNNNNNNNNNNNNNNNNNNNNNNNNNNNNNNNNNNNNNNNNNNNNNNNNNNNNNCCUCGUCCCCGUCCUCCUCCUCGACGCCCACUGCCAGUUCCCUACACUACCCCGUGAGCUCCUCCUCUCCUCGCCCGGUCACCGCGCGCACGCGCCGUCUUGCACGCGCACACCGCCGCACAGGCUGCGCCCGGCCCGCUUCGUGCCGUCGCUCCUGCUGUUCGGCGCCGACGCCCAUCCGCGCACCGCCCUGAUGCCCCACUGCUCCCGCUGCCGCCCCUGACGCCGUUCGUCGGGCACGCUCCGCAGCCGCCUCGCUCCCGCUCGAUGACCCUCUUGCCCCUGCAGCUACGCGCUAUCAUCUCCCUCACAGCCGGCUCCGCCCCUACCUCUCACUGCCCUGCCUCGCCAGGCCUCUUCCCCCUCGCCCAGGCUCGCCGUCGCCCGCACCAAGUGCCUCCGUCGAGCUCCCCGAACGCGCCCGCUCCUUGCACCGGUCGCGCCCCGCACCGGGCUCGCGCCGCUCCGGACACGGCCCCGCUGCACCGCUCGGGGCCGCUAGCGGCCACGCCCGCACGCCCCUGGGCGCCAGCGCCCGAGAACCCNNNNNNNNNNCCCCCUGGGCCUAUGACAUAGGGGCCCACGCCCCAGAACGAAAAAUAAAAAAAUAAAAUAAAAAAAUAUAAAAAAAUGAUUUAAAAAAAUAUUAAUAAUAAAUAAUAAAAAUAAUAAAUUAAAUUAAUAAAAAAAUAAUUAAAAAAUAAUUAAGAUAAUUAAUUAAAUUAAUUAAUCCUGUUAAGUUAAACUAAUUAAACUUAAUUAACCUAAUAACUAGUUAACCUAAUUAAUCACUGUUAAUUAGCUAAACAGUCCCUGACAGGUGGGACCCAUGUGUCAGGUUGACCAGGUCAACGGUCAAUGUUGACUGCUGAUGUCAUAAAUCCAUUUUUGAAUUAAAAUUAAAUAAUUAAUUAAAUUUCAAAAAUUAAUAAAUUCUUUUGAAAAUCAUAUCUUUUAAUUCGUAACUCGGAUGGAAAAACUUUGUAUAUGAAAGUUGCUCAGAACGACGAGACGAAUCCGGAUACGCAGCCCGUACGUCCGCCACGCGUCCCUAGCAUAGUGAACCUGCAACAUUUCACCUCCGGCACCUCUGCCCGAAAACGCGAAACACCGGGAACACUUUCCCGGAUGUUUUCCCCCUUCGCCGGUAUCACUCCUUACCGCGUUAGGGCACACCUAACACCGCGUUUGCUUUGUCGUGCAUCGUUAUGCAUCUGUUUGCAUUGUAUUUACUGUUUCUUCCCCCCUCUUCUCUCCGGUAGACUACGAGACCGACGCUGCUACUGCCCAGUUCGACUACGGAGUUGACGACCCCUCCUACUUGCCAGAGCAACCAGGCAAGCCCCCCCUUGAUCACCAGAUAUCGCCUAUUCUUCUCUAUACUUCUUGCAUUAGAGUAGUGUAGCAUGUUACUGCUUUCCGUUAAUCCUAUACUGAUGCAUAGCCUGCCCUUGCUUCUACUGUUGAUACCUUUACCUGCAAUCCUACUGCUUAGUAUAGGAUGCUAGUGUUCCAUCAGUGGCCCUACACUCUUAUCCGUCUGCCAUGCUAUACUACUGGGCCGUGAUCCCUUCGGGAGGUGAUCACGGGUAUAUACUAUAUACUUUAUAUACAUGACACAUGUGGUGACUAAAGUCGGGUCGGCUCGUUGAGUACCCGCAAGUGAUGCUGAUGAGGGGGCUGAAAGGACAGGUGGCUCCACCCCGGUAGCGGUGGGCCUGGGUUCCUGACGGCCCCCGACUGUUACUUUGUGGCGGAGCGACAGGGCAGGUUGAGACCACCUAGGUGAGAGGUGGGCCUGGCCCUGGUCGGCGUUCGCGGAUACUUAACACGCUUAACGAGAUCUUGGUAUUUGAUCUGAGUCUGGCCAUUUGGUCUAUACGCACUAACCAUCUACGCGGGAGUAGUUAUGGGUAUCCCGGCGUCGUGGUAUCAGCCGAAGCUCUUUUUGACGUCAGCGACUGAGUGGCGCGCGCCGCAUUGGACCAUAAGCUCGCGCUUGUAUUAAGGGGGCUAGGUCUGCUUCCGGCCGCGUACGCAACGUGCAGGUGUGCAUAGGGCGAUGGGCCCAGACCCCUGCGCGCAUAGGGUUAGACCGGCGUGCUGACCUCUCUGUUGAGCCUAGGUGGGGCUGCGACGUGUUGAUCUUACGAGGCCGGGCAUGACCCAGAAAAGUGUGUCCGGCCAAAUGGGAUCGAGCGUGUUGGGUUAUGUGGUGCACCCUUGCAGGGAAGUUUAUCUAUUCGAAUAGCCGUGUCCCUCGGUAAAAGGACGACCCGGAGUUGUACCUUGACCUUAUGACAACUAGAACUGGAUACUGAAUAAAAUACACCCUUCCAAGUGCCAGAUACAACCCGGUGAUCGCUCUCUAACAGGGCGACGAGGAGGGGAUCGCCGGGUAGGAUUAUGCUAUGCGAUGCUACUUGGAGGACUUCAAUCUACUCUCUUCUACAUGCUGCAAGAUGGAGAUGGCCAGAAGCGUAGUCUUCGACAGGAUUAGCUAUCCCCCUCUUAUUCUAGCAUUCUGCAGUUCAGUCCACUGAUAUGCCCUUUUACACAUAUACCCAUGCAUAUGUAGUGUAGCUCCUUGCUUGCGAGUACUUUGGAUGAGUACUCACGGUUGCUUUUCUCCCUCCUUUCCCCUUUCUAUACCGGAUUGUCGCAACCAGAUGUGGAGUCCAGGAGCUAGAGAUCCCGAGGAUGAUUCUACGUGGAGUUCGGCUUCGAGGAGUAGUUAGGAGGUCCCAGGCAGGAGGCCUUGCCUUUUCGAUCGUUGCUACUUUUGUGCUAGCCUUCUUAAGGCAAACCUGUUUAACUUAUGUCUGUACUCAGAUAUUGUUGCUUCCGCUGACUCGUCUAUGAUCGAGAAAUUGUAUUCGAGCCCUCGAGGCCCCUGGCUUGUAUUAUGAUGCUUGUAUGACUUAUUUAUGUUGUAGAGUUGUGUUGUGAUAUCUUCCCGUGAGUCCCUGAUCUUGAUCGUACACAUUUGCAUGCAUGAUUAGUGUACGGUCAAAUCGGGGGCGUCACAAGUUGGUAUCAGAGCCAACUGCCUGUAGGAAUCCACCUUUCCAACUCCUUGGCCGAAGUCGAGUCUAGUCAUUGAAAAACUUUUACUAACAUGGCUGUGUGGCUUACGGGCCCACGUCGCCAUCGGGUGGUAGUAGGACCUUUUUUCCUCAACCUAUACUCUGGGACUCUGACAUCUCUUCUAUUCGGGUUAAAUGAAUUUUGCUAAAUCUAACAUUAGGAUCUCGUUAUCACUUUCACCCGGAGAGCCCCUUAUUACUGAUGAUCGUCUGCUGCACGUGAAGACCCUGAAGAUACUCUCCGCUGAUAACCCGAGAACUUGUGUUCAUCGCUUUUGCAAUUCCCUUUCAUCGAUAAACUCCUAUGGAUAACCACGUAUACUCGCCAUUCAUACAAUGUUUCCCAGUUGAUCUUGUCAUUACAAGAUACCCCGAAAUUCUCUCUGUUGUUCCGAGAAUCCUUUGAGCUUACUACCUUGCUGUUCUUUGUCACCUGAAUACCCCUGCGGAUAAUUCUCGCACUUACCGAGUAUCCACUCAUCCCCAGUUGAUUCAAGUAUUUCACAAUAGUCUUCAAAAUACUAUUCGAUCUUCCGAAAAUCCUCAGGAGCCUAUUGCUCUUGAAAUUCUUGUUUGCUUGCAUUAUGGUUAAUCCCAUAAGUCUCGUAAUCUUAUUGGCAUCUCUUGUCAUUAUCAUUUUGAGUCCGUUGAUUCAAUUUGUUGCGAAUGCUCGCAAUCCUCAAUCAUAUCCUAGAAUUCAUCCUUCCGGCUCAGACGUCGUUUUAAACGUGAGCUGGAUCUCGACCUAUCAAAUUGCCAUCGAUUGUACCCCUAAGCCUACUCAACUUAUCCAUCCUUGAUCAGAGCGUUGCUUCUGACCCCCUGAUUUGGAAAUCAUAAUUCUUUUGCAUUUGAACUUUGAGUUAGUCAGUUGUUUCUAUAAUCAGAUCUCCUUGCAUUCUUCUUCCUCUGGUUGAGUACCGAUGCUCACAUCAGAUCCCUUGUGGACCAUCGGUUCCUUUGUUGGAUUUUAUCCGACAGUGUCCUUCCUAUUGAAUAACCUUGUGAGUCUUUCCAUGGGUAUAUAAUGCCUUUGGUAAAUUGUAUCAUCUGCUUUUGAACAAUGCUCUUCUUUUGAGCUUGUAAUAUUUACUCCGAAGUUUGUGGUAUAUGUUCCUAAGAUGCCCUGAUGGGUUGAACCUAUGCCUUCCUUAAUCUGUGUGAACCCAAAAGUUUUCCAAGGUUCAUACUCCUCUGGUAAUUCACCAGGUAGGUCUUCGCACUCAAAUUAUUUUUAAUAGAGCAGUGAAUGAAAGGUUAUGCAUUGCAGAAGUGGGAGUCGACCUUGAACUUUGUGUUCAUGCCCAUGGACACGAUGUAGAUCUUAUCAUUAAAAGCUUCUCUUAAAUUAAUUAUUACCUUGGUAUAAGUUCAUCUUAUAUCUGUGAUCUGGCCUUUUGCAAUCGUGGUUCCGACCAUGUUCUCCUUUAAACACCAUUUCUCGUGCAAGUUUAAGCACUUGACUUCUGUAGAGCAAUACCCAAUCCAACCUCUAUUUUAAUCUGUCGUCGAGUAUUACCCCCUGGUAUCUCGAGAUUAUCACGGAACUGCAUAACUUCUUAUGAGUUCUCCAUCAAGUAUUACAUUCUCAUUGAUUCCAAUUGUUCACGGGCUCCGAGUUAUUAAACACUCAAGGACAUCGAUAACUGAAUCGAGUCCGCAUCACGAUUAAACAACUCUUAGUAAUCUCCUUUGCUUACGAGUUCGUACUCGAUCACGUCAUCCCUAGCCUGCUCAGCUAUGUCAUUAUCGUGUCAAUUUUAACUGUGCUACCUGGUCCUUCCCAGCGCACAAAUUUCGACAGUGAGCUAAUCUUACGUUGAUUUUCCUUGCCAUAUCAUUUAGCCUUGAACAACAAACUUGAUUUUGAGUUUGUGUCGUACCCCUGGUUCCAAUAACCUUUUGCUUCAUCAUUCCCUUGACUUGAUGUCAUCGCCAAUCGAUUACAUCUUCAUGAAUUCUCUCGACAAAUGUGUCGUGAUCAUCAUCAGCAUUCCGAGCUCUUCCAGGAUAUCAAUGGAAUUCAUGAUGAGAAAGACCAUCCUUGCCCUCCAUGAUUAGUAUUAUCAUCGACCACUCUACUACCUUUCCUCCAACACAAACUUGUUCUUGUUUUGUGUUAUACCUUGAGUUCCUUGCAAUCCAGCAAUUGUUCUUCUUUACACUGGAGUAUUACCAUCUUUUAUGUCAAGAAUGUCGUGAGAGUUUCACCACCUCUUAAGAAAAUCUUGGUAUGGUGAUACUUCUCACCAUCACCAUUCCUUCUUGGGUCCUCGUGUUGGUUCCAACCGGGGUACCAACGAGUGAGCGGUGUUGUUUGGAUCCUGCCCUUCUAGCAACCCUAUUGCUUUGAAGUUAAUGGUCGGCCGUUCAUUCUUAGACUAUUGAUUAUUGAAUCACCAUUCCGACGUUGGUCGUGCAACCCAGCCCAUAUUUCGGGUGCACCUUUCCACCAAUGUUUAAUCGUGUAUGUUUUCCUCGAGCAUACAUCAUUAUACCAUUUGAUCUGACAAAUGUUAUCUCCUUGUUCACAUGAUUAUGGAAAUCCAUCUUUUUGGAAAUUUCGAGGAAUUGUCGCUGAGUCCAUCAGCCACCCCCUCAUCCUCUCCUUGAUUUAAUGAUGAACUCUUGUUCCGGAACUCGCUUCCAUGGUUUAAUUCCCGAGAAUCAUACAAUGUCACCUCGACAAUUUGUUUUGCACCUCCUCUACUCAGGCAUCCUAAGUCUGAGGUAUCCUGACACCAAUCAGAACUAAAUCUCGGUCAGAUAUGAUGGUUGGAACAUAUUUCCAAGAGUUAUAACAUUGGUCUUUAUAUGACCCAGUAAGGUGAUGUCGUGCCUAGCACACCUGGCCGGAGGACCUAUUGUUACCAUUUCCUUUUAGCAAGGCUAUCCUUUUCUUCCAUGAGGAAAUUGUAAGACUUAUUCUACAAGCGGUUCCCGAUGGACAGUUUUUGUUUCUAAAGUCUGAUCUUCACUUGAUAACCAUGUCAAGGCUAUCUCGAUGCAUGUCUGUGGUAAUCCAAUUUUCAACAAGAACAUUUGAAGCCCAAUGCUAAAUGUUUCUCGCUCAAUUAUCCAAACACCGUUGUAUGGGUAAUGUCAUGAAAUUUCUCUCACCUUACCUAAAGAGUUUUCUACAUUAUAUCCUGUCCUGGAUAUCAUGCUCUGCUUGUCCUUGGGAAGGAUAUACCCUUGAAAUACGUGUUUAAAUACAUUUUCCUUUCCAUUGUUCUGUUUACUCUGAUAAUCAUAUUUUCCUUUCCAUUGUUUUGUUUAACCUUUCUUGUAAUCUGACUUAGCUGAGCAGAGAUAAUUCCCUGCUUAGUUGAGCACCUCGUUGUACCACUCUCUCAGUAGGCCAUGUUACUUUUGUUGAUGACAUUUCGGUAGCCACCGAUGGAUGAGAACUUUGCCUAUUGGUCCGCCUCGUUUCAACGAGCAGGAAAAUGGUUCUCUUCGUCCCUCGCCCUUGGUACCAACGUGUUGCCGACAUAACUGAUAGGGUAUUCUCUGACAUGCCUUGCUAUCAUGACCGUGCAAGAUGUCACUGCUCCUAUAAAAAAAACCACAUGGUGGGCCCAUAACCCACAGUUCCACAGGAUCGAAACCUGACUCUCUUGUACACCCCCUGUUCCCAAGGUUAUUCCUCACGCUUGGCUUCGUAUGUAAUUCACGUGCCACCUUUCGUGAGAUCAUCAAUUUUGGUAUCAGACACAAUACUUAUUCCCGUUGCUUUGAACCCUUCAGGCAUCGAACGAUUGCCUGCCCGCUCGAAACUUCCCCACGGUACCUCAUUACUUUGCUCUCAAUAUUGUCUUAAAUUUCCAUUCGAGAGUUACUUUCCGCCACCUUCCCCGAUGUUAUCAACCAGAUAGUCAACCGUUCAGAGGUCUGUUAUUCCGAAGUUACCCCUUGUCCUUCGUAAGUACGAUGGAGUUCCCGAAGAAAGGAUGACGACUUGAUCAUGGUGACUUGAAGCAGAGAAAUGAAGACAUCAAAGUAUUGGACCGGCCUCUUCAGGAAGAGCAGGCCAGAAUGAGAAGACCCGCUAGAUUUCGUAACCAGAUCUUUCCCCCUUCUCCACGUCUUAAAUCUCGGGACGAGAUUUCUUGUAGUGGAGGAGAAUUGUGACGCCCGGAUAAUUAAGCUACAGUAAUCCCACAUUAACGAUGCCACGUCACCUUGGUUAUUGUUGCUAAUCUCACGUUAGUUCGAAACCGAUUCAAAUUCAAAAUUUAAAAUCAAGCAAACAAUAAAAGUUUUCAAAUAUUAAAACUAAAAUGUUCAAUAAAUAGUAGAUAAAUCAGAGGCUAUGAUAAAAUUGUAAACAACAUUAUUGAAAUUUGAUUGGUGACUUAAACAACCUCAAACAGUGGCUGAAAACAUUAUUUAAUAACCUUUUUAUUAAUACAAAAUAAAUAUGAAAUGAUAUUUACGCCAAACUAGUUUUUGGUGGUAGGAUAUAUUGUGCUGUGAUUUGUGGGCCAGCUCUCAUAUUUUACAAAACUCAUUUGGUGCCCAGACAAUUAUCCAAAAUAGAAAAGAGAAUAAAAUAAAAGGAAAUGGCAAAACUGUAACAAAAACAAAAGAUAAAAUAAAAACAAAAGGCCCCCAGCCCCUCCCCCACUGGGCCUCUUGGCCCAGUCGGCUCAGCUGACCAGGCCGACCCAGCCGGCCCACCCCGCACCUCCCCUGGACUAUAUGGCCCNNNNNNNNNNNNNNNNNNNNNNNNNNNNNNNNNNNNNNNNNNNNNNNNNNNNNNNNNNNNNNNNNNNNNNNNNNNNNNNNNNNNNNNNNNNNNNNNNNNNNNNNNNNNNNNNNNNNNNNNNNNNNNNNNNNNNNNNNNNNNNNNNNNNNNNNNNNNNNNNNNNNNNNNNNNNNNNNNNNNNNNNNNNNNNNNNNNNNNNNNNNNNNNNNNNNNNNNNNNNNNNNNNNNNNNNNNNNNNNNNNNNNNNNNNNNNNNNNNNNNNNNNNNNNNNNNNNNNNNNNNNNNNNNNNNNNNNNNNNNNNNNNNNNNNNNNNNNNNNNNNNNNNNNNNNNNNNNNNNNNNNNNNNNNNNNNNNNNNNNNNNNNNNNNNNNNNNNNNNNNNNNNNNNNNNNNNNNNNNNNNNNNNNNNNNNNNNNNNNNNNNNNNNNNNNNNNNNNNNNNNNNNNNNNNNNNNNNNNNNNNNNNNNNNNNNNNNNNNNNNNNNNNNNNNNNNNNNNNNNNNNNNNNNNNNNNNNNNNNNNNNNNNNNNNNNNNNNNNNNNNNNNNNNNNNNNNNNNNNNNNNNNNNNNNNNNNNNNNNNNNNNNNNNNNNNNNNNNNNNNNNNNNNNNNNNNNNNNNNNNNNNNNNNNNNNNNNNNNNNNNNNNNNNNNNNNNNNNNNNNNNNNNNNNNNNNNNNNNNNNNNNNNNNNNNNNNNNNNNNNNNNNNNNNNNNNNNNNNNNNNNNNNNNNNNNNNNNNNNNNNNNNNNNNNNNNNNNNNNNNNNNGAUCGGGGACAGCGGUUCCCCUCGCCGCACGCCCGACGCCGCGACUCCCCGGAUCCCGUCGCCGGAGCCAUCUUGCCGGAGCUGCCCCGCCGUCCUCUUCGUCGUCGACCUCGUCCCCGUCCUCCUCCUCGACGCCCACUGCCAGUUCCCUACACUACCCCGUGAGCUCCUCCUCUCCUCGCCCGGUCACCGCGCGCACGCGCCGUCUCGCACGCGCACACCGCCGCACAGGCUGCGCCCGGCCCGCUUCGUGCCGUCGCUCCUGCUGUUCGGCGCCGACACCCAUCCGCGCACCGCCCCGAUGCCCCACUGCUCCCACUACCGCCCCUGACGCCGUUCGUCGGGCACGCUCCGCAGCCGCCUCGCUCCCGCUCGAUGACCCUCUUGCCCCUGCAGCUACGCGCUAUCAUCUCCCUCACAGCCGGCUCCGCCCCUACCUCUCACUGCCCUGCCUCGCCAGGCCUCUUCCCCCUCGCCCAGGCUCGCCGUCGCCCGCACCAAGUGCCUCCAUCGAGCUCCCCGAACGCGCCCGCUCCUUGCACCGGUCGCGCCCCGCACCGGGCUCGCGCCGCUCCGGACACGGCCCCGCUGCACCGCUCGGGGCCGCUAGCGGCCACGCCCGCACGCCCCUGGGCGCCAGCGCCCGAGAACCCGUCACCCGUUAAGGCCCCCUGGGCCUAUGACAUAGGGGCCCACGCCCCAGAACGAAAAAUAAAAAAAUAAAAUAUAAAAAUUUAAAAAAAUGAUUUAAAAAAAUAUUAAUAAUAAAUNNNNNNNNNNNNNNNNNNNNNNNNNNNNNNNNNNNNNNNNNNNNNNNNNNNNNNNNNNNNNNNNNNNNNNNNNNNNNNNNNNNNNNNNNNNNNNNNNNNNNNNNNNNNNNNNNNNNNNNNNNNNNNNNNNNNNNNNNNNNNNNNNNNNNNNNNNNNNNNNNNNNNNNNNNNNNNNNNNNNNNNNNNNNNNNNNNNNNNNNNNNNNNNNNNNNNNNNNNNNNNNNNNNNNNNNNNNNNNNNNNNNNNNNNNNNNNNNNNNNNNNNNNNNNNNNNNNNNNNNNNNNNNNNNNNNNNNNNNNNNNNNNNNNNNNNNNNNNNNNNNNNNNNNNNNNNNNNNNNNNNNNNNNNNNNNNNNNNNNNNNNNNNNNNNNNNNNNNNNNNNNNNNNNNNNNNNNNNNNNNNNNNNNNNNNNNNNNNNNNNNNNNNNNNNNNNNNNNNNNNNNNNNNNNNNNNNNNNNNNNNNNNNNNNNNNNNNNNNNNNNNNNNNNNNNNNNNNNNNNNNNNNNNNNNNNNNNNNNNNNNNNNNNNNNNNNNNNNNNNNNNNNNNNNNNNNNNNNNNNNNNNNNNNNNNNNNNNNNNNNNNNNNNNNNNNNNNNNNNNNNNNNNNNNNNNNNNNNNNNNNNNNNNNNNNNNNNNNNNNNNNNNNNNNNNNNNNNNNNNNNNNNNNNNNNNNNNNNNNNNNNNNNNNNNNNNNNNNNNNNNNNNNNNNNNNNNNNNNNNNNNNNNNNNNNNNNNNNNNNNNNNNNNNNNNNNNNNNNNNNNNNNNNNNNNNNNNNNNNNNNNNNNNNNNNNNNNNNNNNNNNNNNNNNNNNNNNNNNNNNNNNNNNNNNNNNNNNNNNNNNNNNNNNNNNNNNNNNNNNNNNNNNNNNNNNNNNNNNNNNNNNNNNNNNNNNNNNNNNNNNNNNNNNNNNNNNNNNNNNNNNNNNNNNNNNNNNNNNNNNNNNNNNNNNNNNNNNNNNNNNNNNNNNNNNNNNNNNNNNNNNNNNNNNNNNNNNNNNNNNNNNNNNNNNNNNNNNNNNNNNNNNNNNNNNNNNNNNNNNNNNNNNNNNNNNNNNNNNNNNNNNNNNNNNNNNNNNNNNNNNNNNNNNNNNNNNNNNNNNNNNNNNNNNNNNNNNNNNNNNNNNNNNNNNNNNNNNNNNNNNNNNNNNUCCGUCUGCCAUGCUAUACUACUGGGCCGUGAUCCCUUCGGGAGGUGAUCACGGGUAUAUACUAUAUACUUUAUAUACAUGACACAUGUGGUGACUAAAGUCGGGUCGGCUCGUUGAGUACCCGCAAGUGAUGCUGAUGAGGGGGCUGAAAGGACAGGUGGCUCCACCCCGGUAGCGGUGGGCCUGGGUUCCUGACGGCCCCCGACUGUUACUUUGUGGCGGAGCGACAGGGCAGGUUGAGACCACCUAGGUGAGAGGUGGGCCUGGCCCUGGUCGGCGUUCGCGGAUACUUAACACGCUUAACGAGAUCUUGGUAUUUGAUCUGAGUCUGGCCAUUUGGUCUAUACGCACUAACCAUCUACGCGGGAGUAGUUAUGGGUAUCCCGGCGUCGUGGUAUCAGCCGAAGCUCUUUUUGACGUCAGCGACUGAGUGGCGUGCGCCGCAUUGGACCGUAAGCUCGCGCUUGUAUUAAGGGGGCUAGGUCUGCUUCCGGCCGCGUACGCAACGUGCAGGUGUGCAUAGGGCGAUGGGCCCAGACCCCUGCGCACAUAGGGUUAGACCGGCGUGCUGACCUCUCUGUUGAGCCUAGGUGGGGCUGCGACGUGUUGAUCUUACGAGGCCGGGCAUGACCCAGAAAAGUGUGUCCGGCCAAAUGGGAUCGAGCGUGUUGGGUUAUGUGGUGCACCCUUGCAAGGAAGUUUAUCUAUUCGAAUAGCCGUGUCCCUCGGUAAAAGGACGACCCGGAGUUGUACCUUGACCUUAUGACAACUAGAACCGGAUACUGAAUAAAAUACACCCUUCCAAGUGCCAGAUACAACCCGGUGAUCGCUCUCUAACAGGGCGACGAGGAGGGGAUCGCCGGGUAGGAUUAUGCUAUGCGAUGCUACUUGGAGGACUUCAAUCUACUCUCUUCUACAUGCUGCAAGAUGGAGAUGGCCAGAAGCGUAGUCUUCGACAGGAUUAGCUAUCCCCCUCUUAUUCUGGUAUUCUGCAGUUCAGUCCACUGAUAUGCCCUUUUACACAUAUACCCAUGCAUAUGUAGUGUAGCUCCUUGCUUGCGAGUACUUUGGAUGAGUACUCACAGUUGCUUUUCUCCCUCCUUUCCCCUUUCUAUACCGGAUUGUCGCAACCAGAUGCUGGAGUCCAGGAGCUAGAGGUCCCGAGGAUGAUUCUACGUGGAGUUCGGCUUCGAGGAGUAGUUAGGAGGUCCCAGGCAGGAAGCCUUGCCUUUUCGAUCGUUGCUACUUUUGUGCUAGCCUUCUUAAGGCAAACUUGUUUAACUUAUGUCUGUACUCAGAUAUUGUUGCUUCCGCUGACUCGUCUAUGAUCGAGCAAUUGUAUUCGAGCCCUCGAGGCCCCUGGCUUGUAUUAUGAUGCUUGUAUGACUUAUUUAUGUUGUAGAGUUGUGUUGUGAUAUCUUCCCGUGAGUCCCUGAUCUUGAUUGUACACAUUUGCGUGCAUGAUUAGUGUACGGUCAAAUCGGGGGCGUCACAGUGGGUGUGCAUCCAACUCGCUUGCUCACGAAGACCUAGGGCAUUUUGAGGAAGCCCAUCAUUGGAAUAUGCAAGCCAAGUUCUAUAAUGAAAGAUUCCCACUAGUAUAUGAAAGUGACAACAUAGGAGACUGUCUAUCAUGAAGAUUAUGGUGCUACUUUGAAGCACAAGUGUGGUAAAAGGAUAGUAGCAUUGUCCCUUCUCUCUUUUUCUCUCAUUUUUUUUGUUUUUUUGGGCCUUUUUCUCUUUUUUAUGGCCUCUUUUUUUAGUCCGGAGUCUCAUCCCGACUUGUGGGGGAAUCAUAGUCUCCAUCAUCCUUUCCUCACUGGGACAAUGCUCUAAUAAUGAUGAUCAUCACACUUUUAUUUACUUACAACUCAAGAAUUACAACUCGAUACUUAGAACAAAAUAUGACUCUAUAUGAAUGCCUCCUGCGGUGCACCGGGAUGUGCAAUGACUCAUGAGUGACAUGUAUGAAAGAAUUGUGAAAGGUGGCUUUGCCACAAAUACGAUGUCAACUACAUGAUCAUGCAAAGCAAUAUGACAAUGAUGAAGUGUGUCAUAAUAAACGGAACGGUGGUAAGUUGCAUGGCAAUAUAUCUCGGAAUGGCUAUGGAAAUGCCAUGAUAGGUAGGUAUGGUGGCUGUUUUGAGGAAGGUAUAUGGUGGGUGUAUGAUACCGGCGAAAGGUGCGUGGUAUUAGAGAGGCUAGCAAUGGUGGAAGGAUGAGAGUGCGUAUAAUCCGUGGACUCAACAUUAGUCAUAAAGAACUCAUAUACUUGUUGCAAAAAUCUAUUAGUUAUCGAAACAAAGUAUUACGCGCAUGCUCCUAGGGGGAUAGAUUGGUAGGAAAAGACCAUCGCUCGUCCCCGACCGCCACUCAUAAGGAAGACAAUCAAUAAAUAAAUCAUGCCCCGACUUUAUCACAUAACGGUUCACCAUACGUGCAUGCUACGGGAAUCACAAACUUUAGAAAAAGUAUUUCUCAAAUUCACAACUACCCAACUAGCAUGACUCUAAUAUCACCAUCUUCAUAUCUCAAAACAAUCAUAAAGAAUCAAACUUCUCAUAGUAUUCUACGCACUUUAUAUGAAAGUUUUUAUUAUAUCCCUCUUGGAUGCCCAUCAUAUUAGGACUAAAUUCAUAACCAAAGCAAAUUACCAUGUUGUUCUAAAGACUCUCAAAAUAAUAUAAGUGAAGCAUGUGAGUUCAUAAAUUUCUUCAAAAUAAAGCCACCGCCGUGCUCUAAAAGGAUGUAAGUGAAGCACUAGAGCAAAUGACAAACUACUCCGAAAGAUAUAAGUGAAUAUCAAUGAGUAGUCGAAUAAUUAUGUAACUAUGUGAAGACUCUCUAACACUUAGGAAUUUCAGAUCUUGGUAUUUUAUUCAAACAGCAAGCAAAACAAAAGAAAAUAAAAUGACGCUGCAAGCAAAACACAUAUCAUGUGGUGAAUAAAAAUAUAUCUCCAAGUAAAUUUACCGAUGAACGAAGACGAAAGAGGGGAUGCCAUCCGGGGCAUCCCCAAGCUUAGUCUCUUGGUUAUCCUUGAAUAUUACCUUGGGGUGCCUUGGGCAUCCCCAAGCUUAGGCUCUUGCCACUCCUUAUUCCAUAGUCCAUGGAAUCUUUACCCAAAACUUGAAAACUUCACAACACAAAACUUAACAAAAAAUCUCGUGAGCUCCGUUAGCGAAAGAAAACAAAACACCACUUCAAGGUACUGUAAUGAACUCAUUCUUUAUUUAAAUUGGUGUUAAACCUACUGUAUUCCAACUACUCUAUGGUUUAUAAACUCUUUUACUAGCCAUAGAUUCAUUCAAAUAAGCAAACAACACACGGAAAACAGAAUCUGUCAAAAAACAGAACAGUCUGUAGUAAUCUGCAUCAAACGCAAACUUCUGGAACUCAGAAAAAUCUGCCAAAAUAGGACGACCUAGAUAGUUUGAUUAUUGAUCUACUGCAAUUGGAAUCAGUAUUUUAUCACUUUCUGGUGCUUUUUAACAAUUGUUUUCGUCAGCUGAAAGUUUCUGUAUUUUUCAGCAAGAUCAAAUAAUUAUCAUCCAAGAAGAUCCUAUAGGUCUUACUUGGCACAAACACUAAUUAAAACAUAAAACCACAUCUAACCAGAGGCUAGAUCAAAAAUUUAUUACUAAACAGAACCAAAAAGCAAGAAACAAGAAUAAAAUUGGGUUGCCUCCCAACAAGCGCUAACGUUUAACGCCCCUAGUUAGGCAUGAUGAUUUCAAUGAUGCUCACAUAAAAGAUAAGAAUUGAAACGCAAAGAGAGCAUCAUGAAGAAUAUGACUAGCACAUUUAAGUCUAACCCACUUCCUAUACAUAGGGAUUUUGUGAGGAAACAACUUAUGGGAACAAUAAUCAACUAGCACAGAAAGGCAAAACAAGCAAAUCUUCAAGAUUUUCAACAGAUAGAGAGGAAACUUGAUAUUAUUGCAAUAUGUAGAAGCAUAUGAUCCUCUCUCAUAAUAAUUUUCAGUAGCAUCAUGAAUGAAUUCAACCAUAUAACCAGCACAUAAAGCAUUAUUUUCAUGAUCUACUUGCAUAGAAAUUUUACUACUCUCCACAUAAGCAAAUUUAUUAUCAUCAAUAGUAGUGGGAGCAAACUCAACAAAAUAACUAUCAUGUGAAGCAUAAUCCAAUUGAAAAUUGAAAUCAUGAUGACAAGUUUCAUGGUUAUCUUUAUUCUUUAUAGCAUACGUGUCAUCACAAUAAUCAUCGUAAAUAGGAGGCAUGUUUUCAUCAUAAUAAAUUUGUUCAUCAAAACUUGGGGGACUAAACAUAUCAUCUUCAUCAAACAUAGCAUCCCCAAGCUUGUGGCUUUGCAUAUCAUUAGCAUCAUGGGUAUUCAAUGAAUUCAUACUAAUAACAUUGCAAUCAUGCUCAUCAUUCACAAAUUUUAUGCCAAGCAUUCUAUGUAAUUCUUCUUCUAGUACUUGAGCACAAUUUUCCUUCCCAUCAUUUUCAUGAAAGACAUUAAAAAGAUGAAGCAUAUGAGGCACCCUUAGUUCCAUUUUUUGUAGUUUUCUUUUAUAGACUAAACUAGUGAUAAAACAAAAAACUAAAAGAUUCGAUUGCAAGAUCUAAAGAUAUACCUUCAAGCACUCACGUCCCCGGCAACGACGCCAGAAAAGAGCUUGAUGUCUACUACGCAACCUUCUUCUUGUAGACGUUGUUGGGCCUCCAAGUGCAGAUGUUUGUAGGACAGUAGCAAAUUUCCCUCAAGUGGAUGACCUAAGGUUUAUCAAUCCGUGGGAGGCGUAGGAUGAAGAUGGUCUCUCUCAAACAACCCUGCAACGAAAUAACAGAGAGUCUCUUGUGUCCCCAACACACCCAAUACAAUGGUAAAUUGUAUAGGUGCACUAGUUUGGCGAAGAGAUGGUGAUACAAGUGCAAUAUGGAUGAUAGAUAUGGGUAUUUGUAAUCUGAAAAUAUAAAAACAGCAAGGUAAAUAAUGAUAAAAGUGAGCGUAAACGGUGUUGCAAUGCUAGGAAACAAGGCCUAGGGUUCAUACUUUCACUAGUGCAAGUUCUCUCAACAAUAAUAACAUAAUUGGAUCAUAUAACUAUCCCUCAACAUGCAACAAAGAGUCACUCCAAAGUCACUAAUAGCGGAGAACAAAUGAAGAGAUUAUUGUAGGGUACGAAACCACCUCAUAGUUAUCCCUUCUGAUCGAUCUAUUCAAGAGUCUGUAGUAAAAUAACACGAAGCUAUUCUUUCCGUUCAAUCUAUCAUAGAGUUCGUGCUAGAAUAACACCUUAAGACACAAAUCAACCAAAACCCUAAUUUCACCUAGAUACUCCAAUGUCACCUCAAGUAUCCGUGGGUAUGAUUAUAUGAUAUGCAUCACACAAUCUCAGAUUCAUCUAUUCAACCAACACAAAGAACUUCAAAGAGUGCCCCAAAGUUUCUACCGGAGAAUCAAGACGAAAACGUGUGCCAACCCCUAUGCAUAAGUUCAUUGAACCCGCAAGUUGAUCACCAAAACAUACAUCAAGUAGAUCACGUGAAUAUCCCAUUGUCACCACAGAUAAGCACGGCAAGACAUACAUCAAGCGUUCUCAAAUCCUUAAAGACUCAAUCCAAUAAGAUAACUUCACGGGAAAACUCAAUCCAUUACAAGAGAGUAGAGGGGGAGAAACAUCAUAAGAUCCAACUAUAAUAGCAAAGCUCGUGAUACAUCAAGAUCGUGCCGAAUCAAGAACACGAGAGAGAGAUCAAACACAUAGCUACUGGUACAUACCCUCAGCCCCGAGGGUGAACUACUCCCUCCUCGUCAUGGAGAGCGCCGGGAUGAUGAAGAUGGCCACUGGUGAGGGACCCCCCCUCCGGCAGGGUGCCGGAACAGGGUCCUGAUUGGUUUUUGGUGGCUACACAGGCUUGCGGCGGCGGAACUCCCGAUCUAUUCUGCUCCCCGAUGUUUUUAGGGUAUAUGGAUAUAUAUAUAGGCGAAAGAAGUCGGUCAGGGGAGCCACGAGGGUGGGGGCACGCCCAGGGGGGCAGGCGCGCCUCCCUGCCUCGUGGCCACCUCGAAGCUUCCCUGACGUCUACUCCAAGUCUCCUGGAUUGCUUCCGCUCCAAAAAUAACUCUCCCGAAGGUUUCAUUCCGUUUGGACUCCGUUUGAUAUUCCUUUUCUUCGAAACACUGAAAUAGGCAAGAAAACAGCAAUUUGGGCUGGGCCUCCGGUUAAUAGGUUAGUCCCAAAAAUAAUAUAAAAGUGUAUAAUAAAGCCCAUAAACAUCCAAAACGGGUAAUAUAAUAGCAUGGAACAAUCAAAAAGUAUAGAUACGUUGGAGAUGUAUCAGCAUCCCCAAGCUUAAUUCCUGCUCGUCCUCGAGUAGGUAAAUGAUAAAAACAGAAUUUUUGAUGUGGAAUGCUACCUAACAUAUUUAUCAAUGAAAUAUUCUUUACUGUGGCAUGAAUAUUCAGAUCCAUAAGAUUCAAGACAAAAGUUUAAUAUUGACAUACCUAACAUAUUCAGUAUCCCUCGCAGAGCAUGGUAAAGCCGAUGAGCUGCAACACGGUGUUGGUGCCCAGGUGGUGCGGCUCCACCCCAAAGAAUUCAAGAAAAGCGCGGAAGAAGAGGCUCGUGGGGAAGCCGAACCCACGGUUAAAGUGGGUGUAGAACACCACGAACUCGCCCUCCUACGCCACCGGAAUCCUCUCCCCGUCAGGCGUGCGCGCGGCCAUUGCCUCCGCCGAUGGCAGCUGCUUGGUGUCGCGGAGAAACUUGAUGUCAGCGUCACUCGUCACGGAUCUCUCCCAUGAGCCCUUGGGCCACGCCAUCGCCAAGGUACUUCGAGGGCGCGGGCGUGGAGAAGAAGAAGGUGGAGAGGUGCCGCACCCGACGGGCUUUUCGGUUUCCCGCCCAAGCGGAGUGCCACGAUCUGGCUUCCAGAAGCCGGCAUCCAGUGGGUGUUGCCGACUUUUAUGAUUCCAAGACAGACAUGUGGGUGGUCAGCUCCACCCAGCCCGGCGCCAUCACUUCUCCAACAAAACCUCGGCCUCGAGAUAAGCUGCAAAGGCCCACCCGCUCCGAGCCGGCGGGCCUUCACGGCUUCGGGGACUACUGUCGGGGGGAUGACUCCCGGGUAGGCCGCGGAAUCCAGAUCCCUUUUUAAAACAUCGGGGCAACUGGUGCCCCUCAACCCGGCUGGUCCCAGGCCGGCUCCCCGGCGCGAGCCGACUGGGCGCCGCUACCCGGCUGGUUGCAUGCCGGCUGACCACAAGUCAGCUAUUGUCCCAUCCGGACAUACGACAAGACCAUUGCCCACAACGGGGAAAGCAUGGCAACAGUGCCCCACCUACCCGCGCUGACCGGAGCGAGCAUGGCUACAACGUCGCCCCGUACCGCUGACCGAGGCGGACAGCGACCGGGCGACAUGGCACUGUAGCCACAUGAUGCCAACCACUCCGUGAUGCUGGAGAAGACGGAGCACAGUGUUGCGCAGUCGGCGAGACCCGUGCCCGGUGGACCCGGCGACCCGGUGGGCCCCAUGCCGGAUCCCAGACGAUGACACUAGGGCCCCGCGCUCAUGUAUCUUUACCAUUGUAGCCCCGGGGCCAGCCUAUAAGACCCCCCGGUGCCCAUCCAUGCAAGGGGUCGCCCGAUCAGCAUAACACACACACACACAAAGAGAGAGAGAGAGAGAGAGACCACAGGUAGGGCAGAAGGCCGACUCCUUCUUCCCUUCGCCCCAUACAGCUCCAGGAGCAACCUUGUAGCCCUUGUGCUCCCCAUAUUACAUUCGGCAGGACUAGGGGUGUUGCCUCCCCCGGAGGGCCCCGAACCUGUGUACGUCUCGUGUCGCACACCAACGCGUGCCAACCUCGCCUCCAGAACCCACCGGCGUCCUCACGUAGCCCCCCACUUUAAACCAUCCCAUGGCAUCUAUCGUGAGAUUACCAUGACACCGUCCUUAAGAACUGAGUUCUGUGUAUGUUAUCCAAGAACAGUUACUACCACACAUUGGGUUCCGGUAACUCGACCCCUAUCCGCUUAUUAAUUGCUUUGAUCUCUUUCCAGGAGUUGCAACUAGUUUCUGGUGUUUGUAGGUUGUGCUAGUAGUAUACCAAGUGGCACCCAGUACAGGUCGGCUUGGGACAGACUAGGCACCAUGGCCCGGUGUACCAAGCGUAGAACCAUCCGUCGAGGUGGACUUGGGAACCCUGCACACAUCGUUUGGGGCCGUGAUGGAAACUUCGGUCAGACUUCCCUUGCGGGUUCAGCCUCAGAUAUGCGAUAAACCUGGACUAUAGUCUUGUGUGGUUAGUCAGGUUGUGGCCGACACCCUCGCCAGGCUUCCACUUGAAGGUUGCUGAGAUACAUGACAUGUAUAUGGUGGUAAGUGGUGAGUGUGUGUGUGUGUGUGUGUGUGUGUGUGUGUGUGUGUGUGUGAAGAAGUACACCCCUGCAGGGUAAAUGAUCUACUCGAAUAGCCGCGUCCACGGAUAUGGACUACUUGGAAGCUCACAUUGUUCAUAGACAAGCUGAAAUGGAUACUCUAAAAUGCGCAAGAUAAGCAUGCGUGCUAUGGAUUGCCUUCUCGUAGGGAGACGGGAGUGGAUCCAUAGUGGUGUAUUGAUGUGGUGACUAUGUGGACUCGUGUGCGCUUUCUCACCUCAAAUAAUACUGGUAAUUGUAGUAUAGGAUAGCCACUUAGUCAAAGCUGGCUUACAACAGUUAAACUCUAGAACACCAUUGUUGAUACUGAUGCAUAUGUAGUUAGUUCUGAUGUAAGUCUUGUUGAGUACCUUUGCACUCAUGGUAGCUUAAUUUAUGUCUUGCAGAGGAGACGUUAGUCUCACUAGUGGUUUCAACAACGAGUUCGAUGUUGACCGAGUAGCUUGGGAAUCCCAGACAAAGGUCUAGUUCCUACGAAGGGUCUUGUAGAUAGACAUGUUUUCUAGCCUUCUUUCUUGCAAGAAGCAUGUACAAGGCAAGACAUAAUGCGAGCUUGGUAUCUGAGACAAGACCGGGUACAAGACUUGGUGUCAGAACACGAUGCAGACAAAGUAGGUGUACAUAGAGCACAAUACAUCACAGGACACCGCCGGCAAAGUAAAUCAACUAUUGGAUAUGACACCACGACAACAGUGUAAGCCCCAACAAGCCACUGCCGACACAUAGACGCUGACACCACAAAGACGGUUCAACGCAUAGGAUCAACAGAAAACAAUCACAUCAACAACAGUGGAACAAUACCAUUAGCAAUGCUUGGUAUGAGAACAUCAGUAGGACAUUAUAUACUGGGAGAGGUAUCAACAAGGAAUUGACAUCAGUCAGUCGGAGUUCAACCCCAAUAAACUCAAAGACCUAGCAUCGCAGCAUGAAUCAAGGCAGUCAGAAAUCAUCAACAUGCCCCCAAAGAACAAGACACCAGGCACACCCAAAGAAACCCCAAGGUAUGUUUCCCUCUGGGAAAGGUAAGCCCAGAAUCUCGAGGACGGGAUUCUCUUAAGGGGGAUAGGUUUGUAACACCCUAGUUCUUUAGUUCUAGAAAAUUCUUUUCCAGAUUUUCCUUCUGCCUUUUUCUUUUGGUGCUUGGAUUUUAUUUUCACUCUUGUGUUUAUUUGGGAGUUAGUGACUUGCCUAGUUACUUGGUAUUAAGGUUUUUCCCCCAAAACCCUAAUUGCCACUUCUGCUAACUGAAACCCUAGGACCCAGUUGCACUACAUCACCCUUUUCCUUUGCACAUCAAUUCACCAAAUUAAUUGUAGAGCUCACCCAUCACAUAUCUUCACAUCUUCCAUCUUCACAAGCCCACACUUAAGUCAAAGUUUCACUACAACAAUUCAUCCAAGUUUCUAUUAGAUAUGUCAGGUUGCAAAGUAAGUGCAUUGUAGCUUCAUCCUAUGAAGCUCAAUUUUGCGUACAUCGACAUUCACUCAUAUCAUGGCCGUACAAAAAUUUUGAGCAUCAUACACCAACCACAACUUCCUGCACAAUUUUCCAAAGUCUGCAUCCACCUGACCACUUUGUGAAGGAAGUUAUCCACCCACUUGAGCUCAAAUUUCUCAUGAUGUUUAAACAUGACAAAACACUACUCACACCCAAUUUUCAUCAGUUUCCAUCACACCAAAGGAGCACAGCAAGCUCUCAAAGUUUCUGGCCAAAUUUUAUGAAGGAAGUACUAGCUAGAGUCAUCCAAAUGGCCUGGAAAUUUACAUGCAUGUGCACCCUCAUAUAAGAUCACCCAUCAGACCCCCCUAGAGUGUAACUUUAUGACAUGUGUGCGUCCCUGCCCAAGAAGCGUAGGCUUCAUCCAAGAUUUACAGGUUGCAGAUAGCACAUGAAGGGUUGAAGAAGAGGAAACAAAAAGAUAAGAACAUAAAAUGAAACUAAUAAAAGAUAAUGUAACAAAGAAUUGCACACACAGACAAAACACUACCGAGGCAGCAAACAAGACACUCACUGUCGUAGAAACAAUCUCUGGCAUUGCAUGAACGAUUGCCACCAAGGUCACCGAAGGUAUCACCUUAGAGCAUCUCCAACCGUUUGGCCCCCGCAGCGCACCCGGCGAAAGGUUUUUGGCGUUUGCGUCGGCCGGUUUUUUAGCCUCGGGGCGAUCUCGUCCCCAGCCGCGCACCCAAGUUUCGGCCCCCAAACGCAUAAAAAAUUGAAAGUUCAUGUUCCCGCUACCAAAAACGCCAUAGUUCGGCGAUCAUCAUGCCACAGAUCGGCGAUCAAUGCCACUGGGUUCGGCAAUCGAACAUAGCCAAAGUCCGGCGAUCAAAAGGGUAGGAACAGUAGACAUGGAGCUCAUAAAACGGCAGGCUCCUCUGCUGCAAGGCUGCUCGAGGUCGGCGUGGGCGCAGCUUCAGUACUCGGGCUCGGGGUCGGCGUGGGCGUCGGCGUAGCUUCAGUGCUCGGGCUCGGCGUGGGCACAACUUCAGUGCUCGGGCUCAGCGUCGGCAUGGGCGUAGGAGCGGUGGCCGCUGCCGGUCCCGACAUCUGGUUCAGGAUGAGGCCACGCUCCGCCAGGCACCACGCCUUUACCUGCUCGUCCAUCGUCAACGUGUCUGCCCCCAUCAAGAACGCCAGGUCUGUGUUCCUCUUCUUCGCGGUGACGUUGGUCCUGAGCAGGUCGAGUUUGACGUCCUGCUUUGCCAUCAACGCCGACCACCUCGCAUCGGAUUUCUCCUCCCUCUUGGCGGCGUUGCUCUUGGCAUCAGCGAUGCACCGCCUGAUCACAAUUGCAGUCGUUCGGCAGCGGUGCCGCGUCCCUGGUGAAACAUGUUGAACAUCCGAACCAUCUGCAUAGGCAAAGACGAUAGUGUCGGCGAAGUACACGGCGAGGAACUGGGCCGGUGAACGAUGGCCAUACCUGACCCUCGACGUUGGCAUCGCAUUCGCGGUAAGCCGCGACCUCCUCUUGAAUCCCAUGCCACUUGUUGCAGGCCACCUGGAUGGUCGCCCAGUGGUUCUCCAUGGUCUUCUUGCCACGGUCCAUGUGGAUGUUGGCGAAGUCGGGGUCGACCAACUUGCGUUCGUCAAACGACGUCUUGAUCCUUCUCCAGUAUGUGUCUGCGUUCUGAUUCGAGCCGGUGAUCGGGUCAAUGCUAACGGUCUUCAUGCUUCGGCGAGGCACUCGUCUUCCGUGGACGUCCACUUGACGCAAGGCUCACCCGGCUUGGCGUUCGCCGCCCACUUCCUCUUUCUCCCUUUGGGCGCCGGCUCCACCUCCGCCGGUUCUUCCUCCUCCACCUCCUCCUUAGAGUCGUCGAGCUUGUCCUCUCUGUCGACAGCAAUGUCCAGUGCUUCGUCUUGCGUGUCAAACCCGGGGCACAAAGCGGCAGCGACUGAGCCGCUCGUGAUGAUCUCGUCCAUGUUGGCGUCGGUGCUUGAACGGUGGCGCUGAGCUGUGUGUGAAGGGUAGGGCACCAUGUCGUAGAGGUGGAGCAGGCGAACCUGAGUAAGUCGGCAGCGAGCAGCUAUACUGGGUGUUGAAACCAGUGGUGAACGCGGGGGAGGGAGUGCACGGGUCGUGGUUGAAGCCGGACGGGGACGUGCGCGGCGCCGCGCCAUGCGGGAAGGUGAUGUUGGGGUUGAAGCUACAAUGCGCGUCGCCGUCGGUGUAGCCAGGCGCAGGCGCGUACCCCACAGUGGCGGCGAGAAGUUGGUCGACGACGCGACGCUCUGCUGGCUCCCCCACGCAGCUUGUGGGCAUUGGCCGGCCUGUUGAGGCGGAGGGUUCCCCAUCCCGCGCGAGACGCCUCCUCCUGCUCCACCACGGCCGUCGCCGCGUCCCUGGCCUUCUUCAUGAUGAUUCUGUUUCGCCGGUCGGUGGUGACCGCCUCCCGGCGAUCAACGUCGGCCUCCCACUGGGCGUUCAACAAGCCCGGGGGCCUUGCCAUCGGCGCCCUCGACUUCCUCUGCUUUGGCUGGACGGAAUCGGCGGCUAGGCGAGGAGCCGCAUACUUCUUCGGCGGCAUGGUGGGCGGCUCUGGGGAGAGAAUGGCGGGAGCGGUGGGGGAGAAGGGCGAAAAUGGGGGGAACGGGGGAAGAGAGCGGCGGGAAAUCGUUCGUUGUCGCUGACAGUGCAGGCCCGCGUGCCUUUUCGCUUCAGUCGGCGCCCCCUGGCGCGCUGGGUCCGGCUUGGGUUCGCCAGUUGUGAUUUCGGCCCAAAACGACGAUAAAAAGGAUCUAGGGGCCCAGCUGGGCUGGUUUUCCUCCGCCGGUGCUAAAAAGGCGCCCUGGGGCCUGUUGGGGGGCGAGUGGAGAUGCUCUUAGGGCAUGGCCAAUGCAUAGCCCCAGGGUGAUGCCUCGCAUGCCAUGUAGGAUCGAAUGUCAGAAAAAGUAGGUUCGGAUAGAGAAACAGGAUCCUCUACAGGAGGCGGGUGCUUGAAGAGAAAAAGUGUGGUCUGGUGCAUAAAGUUGAAAAAAUUGAAGUGGGGAGUAGGGAUGCAUGUGUAAUGAGAGUCUACUUUAUAUUGUUUGAUGACAUUUGAUGAGCCCACUAGUAGUAGCUUGCAUUGGAGAGAAAAAAUCAAUAUAGAUAUCUCAAGCUACUUUUUGUCAUAGGGCAUUUGUAUCCAUAUGCCACCAUUGUACAUAUCCUUCGAGCAACUCCAACGCGCCGACCCAAACGGACGGCGCUUUUGUCCGUUUUUUGUCUGUUUGGGUCGGCCGCCCGCCCGGGCGUCCGCCCCGUUUUAGAUUUGGGUCGGCAGUGCGCCCAACGCGCCGACCCAUAUGUGCCCGCAUGGCCGGCGGGCCGCCCUUUUCAACAAAUAGCUCAUUUUUUGCAUUGUAUCAGACACAACUUUUGCCUUCAAACAUAUAGUCCAGAACGAAAUAAAUAACAUAGUUUCAAACGAAUAAAAUAGCAUAGUUUUACAAGCCGAAUAAAAGUAAAAAUGCCUCACACAGUUUUGCAAGCCGAAUAAAAAAGAUACAUCUAUUGGUUGCCAACAUGAGCCCACAUAUGCUCAACCAAAUCAUUUUGCAGUUGCAUGUGAGUUUUCCAAUCACGCAUGUCAUGAUGAAAUUGGGUGAACUGUUCAAACGUUGCCGCUCCUCCAUGCUCAGACACAACAUUCUCACCCUGAAAGUGAAACCCUUGAUCGUACAGACGUUCCGGGCGCUCAUCUUCUACGAUCAUAUUGUGCAUGAUCACACAAGCAGUCAUCACCUCCCACAAUUUCUGCGUGCUCCAAGUAUUAGUAGGAUACUGAACGAUGUCCCAUCGAGAUUGCAAAACACCAAAGGCACGCUCGACGUCCUUCCUAGCACUCUCUUGCUCUUGGGAAAAUCUUUUCCUCUUCUCUCCGACAGGGUUGGGGAUUGUAUUAACAAUAGUGGUCCACUGAGGAUAGACCGUCACCCAGGCAGUAUCCUUUGUCGUAGUUGUGGCCGUUGAUAGUAAAGUUCACUGGUGGGCUUUUGCCUUCGGCAAGCCUAGCAAACACCAGCGAGUGCUGAAGCACGUUGAUAUCAUUGUGUGAUCCGGCCAUGCCAAAGAAAGAGUGCCAGAUCCAGAGAUCUUGAGAUGUCAGGGCCUCAAGUAUGACAGUGCAAGCCCUGACAUGGCCCUUAUACUGCCCUUGCCAAGCAGAAGGGCAGUUCUUCCACUCCCAGUGCAUGCAGUCUAUGCUGCCAAGCAUCCCUGGGAAGCCCCUGCUGGCAUGCAUCGCCAACAAACGGGUUGUAUCUUCAGGAGUCGGCUCUCUCAAGUACUCAGGGCCAAACAUAGCAAUAACAGCCUUGCAUAACUUAUACAGGGAGUCUAUGCAUGUAGACUCGCUCAUACGGACGUACUCGUCAAUGAGAUCACCGGUCACUCCGUAUGCAAGCAUUCGGAUGGUGGCAGUGCAUUUUUCAUAAGAGGAGAAACCAAUUUUUCCAACGGCAUCCUCUUUGCACUCAAAAUAGUCAUCAUAGCCGACCACUCCCUCUCUAAUACGGUUGAAAAGAUGCCUACUCAUACGGAAAUGGCGGCGGAAUUUCUGAUGUUUGAACAACGGGUUUGUUUUGUCAAAGUAGUCCUUCCAAAGAAGGAAAUGCCCGCUCUCUCAGUUGCGAUUCAACGCCGGAAGGUGCCCCGAAAUGGAGCCACGGAACGACGGGCGCUGGCUAUUGAGGUGGUGAUGGACCAAGAUGGCAUCCAAGAUCUCCUCCUCAUCAUCGGACGAGGAAUCGUCGGAGUCGCAAAGGAAAUUGUGAAAAAAGAACUCGUCGGCGGAGUCCAUUUUGUACCUUGGCAAACUGUCGAACAGCUUGCGGGCGUCGACGAAGGAGACGGCCGGCGAAGGGAGUCGCGCCGCCCUCGGACCAGCUAGCUGCCCUGGCGGCGUCCGAGGAGCGUGCCGGCGUCCAACGAGCGUGCCGGCGUCCGACGAGCAUGAUGGUGAGGAUCUGGACGGGGCGACUUCUUGGUCGCGGUCGUGGCUGUGUCGGGGGAGCGGGGGUGGGAAGCUUUCGGUUCCCCGGCAGCAAGACGGCGAUGGCGGGCGACAUGGGAGGUGGCGGCGUUGUAGAGGGGAUGUUGUGGCGUCGGCAGCUGAUAGAGCCACCGGAGAAAGGUGUGGGCGGCGGCGGCGAAGAAGAAGGAAGUUGGCGAGGGCUUGUUGGAAUGGGAGAGGAUUUUUUUUCUCGAAUACGCAAAGCUUGCAUAUCAUUCCAUUGAUAGAAGGAGUUAGAACAAGUACAAGAUGUGGUACAACACAUGACACGGACCCAAUGGCGUGAACAUGGUGCCCGGAGCAAAGGGACAUGGGAUGCUAAGCCCAAACAGAGAAAAAAAGACACAGCUAAACUCGCCAUCCUCGAAAGCGUCCAGACCAAAUGACACGUCAACCAACGUCUCCAGAUCCAGAAUCGAGGACGCCACAAGCAACCAAGAUAGCGCCUUCAUGAAGGAGAACGACGCCGAGACGCCGUCGCCAUCCGAUCCGGAUAACCGGGCCUAGGGUUUCCCCUGAUGCUCGAGGAGGGGAACAGAUAAUGGCCAUGACAGCGCCUCCAAGAAGGGUACGACACCCGCAGGUGUCGCCGCUGCUAGCAAAUGAUGCAGUGAUUUCGCCCUGGCCAUCGUCCAAGCAAUCCCAAGCCAACGUAUCACGAAUCGGAGAAGAGGAAGUCGGGCAUAGGACUGAACCACGACCACAAGAAGAGGAGCGACGCUGGAAGCGCGAGCAACGAAGCGGCGGAGGGACGGACAGGGCACGGAGGUGGACGGGUAGGCGACUGGGCGGAAUGAGAGACGGUGGAUGAUGUGACGGUGACCGGAGGCCCGAGCAAACCAGGAUCCAGAAGGUAGCGCAGAUCCAAGUCGCCGGGACCGGAGCAGCAAGGACGUCGACAAACCCAAGGAGCCGGAAGGGGGCGCGGCUCCCGAAGUAUGCCGGAAUCGAAGGCGCACCGGGAUGGACGGCCAACCAAGGCACCAACAGGGUGGGGCUGCGAAGGCGUCGAGGCACCGGCGAGCCAAGGGAGCCGGAAGGAGCGCAGCUCUCAGGGUGCACCAGGCCUUGAGCCGCCCCGGCCGGCCAUGGACACAGGAAGAGGCGCAGGUCCAUGUCCGCCAGGAAGAACUCGCCCCUGCUGGGGGGUGGGGAAUGUGGUGGUGAGCACGCGCGCAGCCAAAUCCCGCCCGCGCCUCCAAGGCCGCCGCCCGAGGGGGGCCGACUCGAUGCUCGCGAGGGGUGGGGGGAGGAGCCGCACGACAGUGGGUGCGCCUGGCCGCCGGAGGAGCCGCAGCUGGUCGGGGAACGUCGCAGCCGGCCGGUGGACAAAGCUCCAGAUCCCGACCGGGGGAGGGACGCGGUCGCAUGAUGGCGCGAGGAGGGGCCCCGAAGGCAGCCACACGACAUCCGCCAGAGCAGCCAGCGGCCAAGGGGGUGUGUGCUCGCGUGGCCACGGGAGGAGCUCGGGGAAGAAGCACGCGCCGCCAUGGGUGGGAGCUCAGGGAGGAGGGGGUGCAGCGCGUCAGAUCCGGCCCGCCGCCACCAUCCUGGGUCCGGCGCGGCUUCGCCGACCGGCCCUCCGGCGGCGGUGACGCAGAGGAGGGCGGCGGAGGGGGUCCUGCUGGGUGGCGGCUAGGGUUCCCCCGUGCCGCCCGAGGAGGAGGGCGACGCGGGGGCAGCGGCGCUCUGGAAAAUUCUCGUGCUGAAAUUGUAAGUAACAUAGUAGUUUGAUAGUAAGAUAAUUUGUAACGAGCAAGUAACGAUAGUAGUUGGAAUGGGAGAGGAUGGCCAAUGUGCCACCGGCUAACGGGCCCGGGGGGAGGAGGAGAAGGCGAGCGCGCGCGCGUCUGCGUCAACGCAAAUCCGACUCAAAAAUGGGCCGAAAAUGGGUCGCGCGCGGACGAAAAGCGGACGCGCGUCCAUUUGGGUCAGCGCGUUGGGUCUACUUUUGUGUCCGUGCCGAUCCAAAUGAACGCCUGCGGAUGAAAUGGGUCGCCCCGUUGGAGUUGCUCUUAUUUUGGCAACACAAAUUGGAACAAACCUGACGUAUUACUCAUUCAUCGAUCAAGUUGAACGACUUCAAACGUGUCUUGGGCGCAGUCGGCAUUUCGGGACCAGCCUAGCUCAUUUACCAGGCUCAUCCGGUCAUCCCUGCAUUUCGGCACCAGCCUAGCUCUGUCGCGUCCUAGGCUUCUCCUUCCUACAGCUAGAGCCUAGAGGUCAAACCAAUGUGGUUCACACAAGUGGUAUAUUCACGCCACGAUUCGCCCCUGAAUCUUUGCCUACUUUCGGCUCCCGAUCGGAAUGUUUUGCUUUGCUUUGAGGAGAUACGGCAUCGUUUACUGGAGUACGUAUUUGCUAGGUCGAAAUUCCAGCAAAUUUUGCACAGCACGUCUGAAUGGAGCGGACUGUUCAGCGGGCCCGGUCUCUGUGGCACUCGCUGACCCGCUGUCACUGCUCGCUAGCCAGCCUGCAUAGGCUGCAGCGCCCGCCCACCACAAAUAAAAUAAAAUAAAAUAAAAAUUCCACCGGGCGAAAAGGCGAUGGAAUUGAAAGCAAAGCCAGGAACCUUGGCUGGCCUCGCUAAAAAGCCAGGAGCUCUUUUCCCCUCUCUCUCUCUCCCUCCUCCCUUUUUGGAUUCUUCCCGUCUUGAGGCAUCGCCUGUCUGCCCCCAUCGGCCCAAGCCCACCACUCCCUUUGAGGAAUCGUAAAUCCUUGCCUCCCCGACUCUGCUCCUUCUUCUUCUUCUUCUUCAGCUGUCCAGCCAGCCUCGCCUGCCUCCAAGGGAAAGGAGAGGAGUGGUGGAGCGGCGUCUCUCCGUGCUGCCAUGCAAGUGCACGCUCACGUUUCUUGCAGGUGUUCCUUCCGCGCGGCCAGUGAGUACUCUACUGAUGAGUGAGGAGUGAGUGAAUGGGAACUCAGGCAAUGCCGUCCGGUGGGGCCAUCUCGCGCCAGGGCUCGCUCUGCAGCCUCACGCUGAGCGACGUCGAGGGCCAGCUGCACGGCGUCAACCUCGACGACCUCCUCCGCACGGCCGGCUCGGCCAGGAGGACGGCUGACGAGGUGUGGCGGGACAUCCACGGCGCCGACGGCGGCACCAGCCGCCCGCGGGCCCAGAUGACGCUCGAGGACUUCCUGUCCAGGCCCGGUGGCGACGCGGGGGGCGCCCACUGGGCCGAGCAGUACAAUCCCCCGGCCCCGGUGCCGAGGCAGCAGCGCCACAACAACGUCGGGCGUCCCCUGCAGCGGCCGCUGGGGGUGGGCGCCGGGCCGGUGCUGGACGCGCUGUACCACGACCACGACGGGGCCGCCAUGUCCGGGCGAAAGCGUGCCGCCGUGGGCGGCCCCGGGGAGAAGACGGUGGAGCGGCGGAAGAAGCGGAUGAUCAAGAACCGGGAGUCGGCGGCGAGGUCGCGUGCGAGGAAGCAGGUGGGUCCCUCCCAUCCCUCGAGACCCCAAAUCUCUCUUGCAUUUGUUGCACGCUCACAAGGUCACCCGCUCCAAAUCUCUCUUAUUAUUAUGGCAGGCGUACACGAACGAGCUCGAGAACAAGAUCUCCCGACUGGAAGAGGAGAACGAGCAGCUCAGGAGUUACAAGGUAUACUACUCCCAACUAAAUCUCAAGUUUUCCUCUGAAAAAGGAAAACUAAAUCUCAAGUUGCUAGGCAGGCUCGCUCAAGAGAAGAAUUUCGUCAACAAUAUUAUUACCACUUCUUGUCGAUUUUUAUGCUGCCUACUAAACGCCUUUAGUAGUAACAUAAUUCCCUAAUACUAGUGCCUAACAAAGGACAAAUCUGCUGAGACGAAAACAAACCGCUAUCCAUUGCCAAUCAACGUCGGGGUGAUCAAUCAGUGGGCGCCAAACUGUUCAUUUUGUGCUGAUGCAUGUAUAGCGUGGUCUGCUAUUGCUGAUGAGCCCGGCCUGUGUUUCUUUCUUUCUUUCGCUGUCUGUGCGUCGUUGCCUUCGCUCUGUAGUGGUUACCAGAGGAUGUCAGAUGAUGAUGGAUGGACCAUAAAGUUCUGCCCAAUCAAAUGGGCACCUUGUCACUGCUUCAUCUUGUACAAAAACUUAUCCCGUUACCUUAUGUCAAUAUUUUUUCACCCUACCAAAACUACCUUUUGCAAGUUGUAGUGUUUUUUCUAAAGAAGAUACAAUCGUGGAUAAAUAAUGAGCCAACAUGUUGCAUUUUUUUUAACGGAUAACACGGUCGAGGAUCAAUCAUUUCCAUCUAUCGCACCUCCCUUCAGAGGAAUAGUCAAUGCCUAUUCCCUGCUGAUUGGACACUAGUUCACAACUAUAGGAUAACAAGAUGGUUAUUUUCUUAACCUACUGGAUGGAGCUAAAAUUAGGGCUUUGGGAAGGUUUUAUUUAUCUCGUUGUCUGCCACCUCAGUUCCUUCAUCACCAAUUCAUUACUCUACCAUGCAGUCAGCAUCACCGUACUUAUUAGUAGUAGGAGUAAGAUAAUAGCUCCUCCCCAGCUCCAUGCUGAUAAAUAAAUACUCCUCCAGUAUUGUUGCCCGUCUCUUUCAGCCUUGAUGUGCAAAAUUUACUGGUAUCCAUGUAGUAGUACUGUACUAGAAAAUUUUGCACAUCUACCUCGCACCGCACAUUUUUCGUUUUCUGGGAUUUUUUGUAGUACUAGUCUCGUGCUCCUUUCUAUGCACAUGUCAUGAAAUCUGAAGACAGCAUGUAUAAGCCUGCCAGUGACAACAUCUCCGAAAGGUGAGAUUUGUGUCCUUGUCUGCAUUUUUUCGUGCGUACGAAAUCCUGACCGCCACCCCACUGCCUAGAAAAUUGUGAGCCCAAAUCCGUGUGCGCGGCAAAAUGUAUCUUCAGUUUUGCAGACCUGACGGGUCGAAUUGCUGUGUGAUGCAGGCAUUUGAACCGGUGGUGCACUGUGUGCCGCAGCAGGAGCCAAAGAACCAGCUCCGGCGGAGGAACUCGGCCAGCUUCUGAUCAUCAUCAUGUUAACAGUACUAGUGUUGAACUGCCCGGCACUAAGGUUGCAAAAUUUGUAACUGACUACUCGGAAAAACAUUUAGCUAGUAGUACUAGUAAGAAUACUCCUCUGCGAUCUCCGACUUGCUGUGGUGCAUGGCAAUUGCUGGUUGCUGCACACCGCAUUGUACUCCUAUCCUGCGCUUUUUUUUCCCAGCUGGUGCAUUGCUUUCUGCAGCCUGUGAUUGCAAGAGUAUUCCAGUUAAGCUGUAAUGUUGUAUCUGGAAACAGAAUUCCUAGCCUAGCAGUCAUAUUCCAGCUCUUUACCAUCCCUUCUGUCAUUGCAUUAUUACCUUUUAUCGUUCACACAAAAGAUCAGCAGGAUUUAUUUAAAACUAUAACAUAAACUAUACAUCAUUGUGGUCUUGAUUUAUAUAUAAAAAAACUAGGUGAAAAAACUCUCGUACUCAAACUUUUCAGCUGUAGUCAGGAUCGUCGUCAGGGAGUAUCAAUCUAAGAUCAUCAUUAUCUCUGUAGACUUGUACCAAAGCUGCGGCCUUGUACGCAAAGAACCCCAUCAUACCUGGAACAAGCUGCAAACAGAGAAAUAAUAUAUAUAUUACAUAUUCAUGAGGUCAACAUAAAAAUCUAACAUAAGCACCACCAAUUGAAUGAGAUCUAUAAUUACAAAGAGCUGUACUUUACCUCAAAAUUAAAAAUGUUAUUUUGAAAAUGACUAGAAAAGGUUGACAGCCCAAAAAUCACUGCAGGAAUUAUUAGCCUUGGGGAUGAAAGAACAAAUAGAGAGCCACCCAAUGUCUUCUCUAAUGUAUCCUUCAAAUCCUCGCUUCGAAUGCCGAUUCUAGCAUUUGCAUGUACAUAACGAUAAUAGAUCAAACAGUCAGAACGUGAGGGAUAGGAGACAAAGUAGAGAUCACAGACAAAGACAUUUCUAAACCUACUUCUUCACUUUCUUCUUUAGAAAAACUUCAGGAACAUCUUCCUUCGAUAGGUUAUCUGCGUGUCGAUACAGAAGUUGAAGAUACAACCAGCUGCUCAAUAUAGUGUGAGUGGUUAGAUUUAUUAUCUUUGAUGUAUAUUAUAAACACAAGUUAAUUCAUGGCAGCACUCUAUAAAAAAUUUAUCAUGAACUUCCAAUUCUUAAGUUGUAAAGGAAUCCUAUUUAGCUAACCUGAAAGCAACUCCAAAAGCAUAACUGAUACCAGCCUGUUCAACGUGAACAUCAAAGAUUCAGUCAGAUCACCAUUCAGUUAAAUUUAGUAACCGAUCAAUUACCAAUAUUCAGGUAAAGUUAAAACAUUUGCCAUUCAUGAGCUUACCAGACUAUAUGAAAUUAAUGAUCAUAGAUUCUUGAAGAAAGUAUUAGUAUUGUAAGCAUUUUGUCCAAACAGAGCUUAUUAGCUUGUCAGGUAGAUGGCCGUUAAACGCUAAGACCAUUCACAAUGUUCAUGCCCAAAUACCAAUCCACAUUUUUUAUGUCACCCGAGCAUCUCCAACCGGACAUAGCUAACUCACGGACGCGUCCGCGGACAGCUCCAGCCCGCCGCUCAUUUUCCGCGUCCACAGCCGUCCCCCUCAUAUCCAAACCCCCAAAUCCAAACACAAGUAUGCAACAUAGAUCAACACAUGUACUUUCAUUUCAUAGCACAUAGUUAAUACAUAGUCCGGACAUAGCAUAGGGAAGUUCAUCACACCAUCGGACUACCAAAAUGAUGGCAUGUUCUACUAGUUCAUAACUAAAAGUAGGAUUAUAGAUAGAAGAAGUUCACCAACGGCAGCCCUUGCCUUGUCCUGUCGCGGUAGUAGCGAUCGAAGACGACAAAGGGGUCAAGGCAGAUCUGCUCGGCGCGGAGCUGGAUGAGUCGGACGCAGCACCGGACAUGUUAUCGUCAUCUUUCGGAGGAAGGCCGGCAAGGGCACGGACGGCCCGGGCUUGCUCCACCGCAAGGGAAAGGGCGGACCGGGCUUGCCACUUCGUCAGGAUCCGGGCACGGGCCUCCUAUUGCCCUAUGCGCCGCGUCGCACCUUCUCCCUCUCACAGCGGGCACACCAUCACUCGAUGGCAGACAUGCCGCCGCAGCUACCGCAUCUGGCAAAUCCAUGCCUUGCGCAUUGCUGACAUUGGCCUCAGACUCCGAGGCCAACGUCGCGGGGACAAGGACCGGCGCGUGCCUGAUCCGGUGAUGGAGCGGACACGCGGCGCCAACGCUGGAUCCCAGCUGGAGUGGCGGUGAAGGCGCCCGGCUGGUGGAUCCGCGGAGGGGCGGCUCCAACGACAGAGCUCAGGUAUCCUCCAGGGGUUGGCAGAGCACGAGCUGGACGGCUAUCUCCUCGUCCGAGCAGGCGCCGAGCUCCAAGUCGACGGAUCUAGAUCGACCGGAUUCAGAUCUGUUCCUAGCCAUGCCAGAGAUGACCGGAGAGGAGGGUGGGGCGGAGCGGAGCGGACAGAAAGUGGAGUGGGCAGUGUAAAUGGCUAGGUUUUGGUCCGGGUGAGGAGAGGGGCGGGAUUUUGUGGGGUCGGGAUGGGCCAGUCCAACGUGGUGGAUGUGUCCGUGCAGCCCGAAAUCCACCCCACAUAUGAGGGAUGCCAGACAGCCAGGACAUUUUCCGCCCAGACAUGUGUGGGGGGGGCGGGGGGGUGGAGAUGCUCUCAAGGCAAUGAUUCCAUGAUUAUACGAGCCACGAACAGUGUGAUGCUCACAAAGACCUAAAACAACAUAGUUAUCUACUGGUAGAUUGGAGAUUCUCUAAAGGGCAGCCUGUUGCAUGUAGCUCCCGCUUGCGCAGGGUCCAGCCACUUUGGGUCUAUUGUACGCAGCCUUUCCCUACAUUUCUGCAAGAGGCUGUUUCCAGGACUUGAACCCGUGACCUCAUGGUCACAAGGCAGCAGCUUUACCACUGCGCCAAGGUUCCCCAUCAGAUUGGAGAUUCUCUCUCUCCAAAAAAAUGGUAGACUGGAGGUCCAAUUUCAAAUGGUUGAUUUUGUAAAAUUCCAGUUAAACAGGACAUCACUUCAUUGUGACACAUGGUCACAUGAAACUAUUCAACCAUUCAUGGUUAGUGCAAAAAUGCAUGUCUGGAUUGAUAUAAAGUUCAGGGUGAAAAUACCUCGAGAGAGAAGACUAGGACACAAUAUAUAGUGCAAGCGGCUCCAAUUCCUACGGUCAAAAGCAACAGUUCGUCCUUAAUCUGCAGGAAACGACUAACAUGAGCAGCUGGAUAUGAUUUUUUUUUCCUACUAAAUGCAUCAGAAGAUGAAACACUGGUAGUGAAAAUUACUGCUUCGUAUCUCAGAAGGUUGAAUUCCUUCCUUUUAUCACUCUCCUUCAGCCCAGCCUGUCAUCAUUUGCAAGAACAUGCCAAUCUAUCAAUUACCUCUACAAAAACAUGGUUAAAAGUGAAGAUAACGAACAUAAUAAUCCUGAAACACGGCCAUGACAUACCAGAGCAGAAAGCCUCCUUCUCAUAGUAAGGCUGUCCUCAGCGGACACAAAAUCUCCAGUUGCCUCAAAUCCCACGACUCCCUCACUCAUAACAUCAUCCCUGAACUGCAUGCCAUUGUUCAGUCAGUUAUACCUUGCAACAGUAGAUAAGUAGACGACAUGAUUUGUACAGCUUACAUCGUCAGGUUGCCCAACAUCUGCAGCAUUUCCUUGAUCCAUGGUAGCCUCUAACACCUCAAGAUCUGUGUCAUUUCUCCUCAAAACCAUGUCAGCGACUUUGGAGACGAAGUCCCCAUUCUCCUGCCUAUCCUCAAGGAACAUGCGCAAGACAUCCUCCCCGAGGCUGUCACCAGCUGUCAAUUCCAACAAUGAGGCCACGGGAUUAGUACGAAAGAACAAAUGCCGAACCAUCUUGGUUGUAUGGCUUGAAGCCUUGAAUAAUUCUUCUCUUCAUAGCAUGGAUUUAAAUACACCAACGCAUGGAGAAAAAUGUGUUCAAAAUCAGAAUGAUGUGGUGGAGUAAUCAGACCCAUUUUUAGAAUCGCAAGAAGUAACCCCGAUCAAAUGCAAGAAGAUUAGGCCUCCUUUGGUUUGUAGAAAUUUUGUAGGAAUCUCAUAGGAUAGGAUUUGUAUAGAAAAAAAUUCUUUAGAGCCCUUUGGUUUGUAGGAACAGAAUCUUAUUCCUAUCCUCCACAUUUCAUAGGAAAAUAAACAUUAGCCCAGAGUCAAUGGAAAAAAUCCUGUGGUGUGAAUCAAAAUGCAUUUUCUUUUCUAUUCACAUGAUUUCAUAUACAUGUCAUCUCAUUUCCUAUGACUUUCCUAUUCCUAUGAUUUUCCUACCUGGCCUUAAUUCUAAUUCGAAUUCCGAGGUAGCGAAUUUCUGCGCCAUACAAUUCUGAGCAUUGAAGCUAGGCGGUGUACCUUGGAGAGACGAGUAGCGUAGAGCCGAGGCGCGGGGCAACCUGCGAGGGCGGCAGGCAAGGCCGAGAGGAGGGAGGGAGCCGCGCGCGGCAAGGUCACAGCAACGCACACCGGGAAGCCUCGCCAUGGCAGAACUAAUCUAUUAAGCUGGGGCUAGCCGCCGCCGCGUACGGCGUAGCUUCUGUGACGGCCGGCCGCAAGAGCUGUCGGCCUACCAGCUCGCUGAUCUCCUAGACUCCUACCUCCUCGAUGGAGGCAGCGGUCGGGACGGACAGAGGGAGGGAGGGCGCUGCGGAGAAGAGAAGCCAUGGAGUGGGCUUCAGGUGGAUAAGAGUAGGAUGAAGGCGCGAUCUGGAGCGUCCAAGGGCUCGAUCGGGCGGUGAAGCCUUUCUCCGACGUUGUCUCUCAUCUUGUUUCGUGACAAUCCUAAUGUUUGGAUGCAACAAUGCUCUCAGAAAAUGGGAGAAAUAUCUUCACCGUGGGGCUCACUCCAAGUGGACAACCACUAAUUUGCAUUUAAUUCCAUGUAGAAGUACGUCGCGAUGGACCUAUCAGUGAUGGGCCAACACAGCGACACACAUUGCCCGCUGCCGCAAAUAGAUGAAGAGGGAGGAGGCUUUGGCGGUGGUCGGUCACCCAAUACCACCUCGGUUAAGCAUGUGAAUCAACGGAUGCUGGUCGUGCAAUCACCAUCGACCUAGCUGGCACGGUCGCAUCCGCCACACUACUAUGCCACCUGGCCGCUCGAUCAGCAAUAGCAGUCCGUGUCCACCAUCGUCGCCGGCCAUCACAUGCCGUGCAUCGUCGACCUCAACAACGUGGAGAACACCUUCACGGAGUCGCAGUCGUCGGUGCUUGUCCGCUCAAUGAUGUCGGCUUCCAUGCCCGUCGGUGCCUCUCUGUCUAUUGAAAUGUCUCAACCGGGCGCCGAUAAGGAGGAGUCACCGAUGAACAUGAUCCAAGUGGAAGAAUCCAAGCCGGAGGCGAUGGACACACAACAGCUGCACACCUAGAUGUCGGAAAAUCAACAAACGCAGAAGAUCGUGCAAGCCUACCGUGCUAGGAUGUUAAAGCGUUUGGCAACCAAUUUGGAGGAAUUGUCCAUACAUAAAGAACUUGGCAUGGACAGCCGGUCUGUGACACAAAAAAUAAGGUUGUUUGCAUGGACAGACGGACUUGCAACUUUGGGGAUUGGAUGUUUUUGGUUGCGAUUUAUAUUUACGUAUGCUUGCUAUUGAACUACAUAUGCAUGUCAAAUGAAGGCAAACGGACCGGAACAGAUAUUUGAUGCAUAGGGUAUAGAGGUGGAUGACCGCCACUCUAUCCACUUUCUUCGGACACGUCGAUGUUUCGAUGGACAGUGCUGGAGAUGUUGAAGAUGGGCUUUGACCCAUAAAAGACGAUAAUCCCCGGUUAAUCUAUAAUGCCCAUUUAGGUGCAUGGUAAGUGGUGGAAAGUUUAGUAUCAUACUGCUAGCGUAGUAAGAGUGAGACCCCUUUAUAAAGGUUGCUUUAUCCCAUGCCAUUGGAAGCUUCGGAAGAGGAGUUGUACGCGGGCGCUCCUCCUUCGACGCCCGCCUUGCCACGUCACGCCACGCAUCGUCACGACGCGCGCGCGCCCCGUGGGUUGUGGGAAUGACCUGAGUCGAGCUAAUGGGUCGCUAACAAAAGUGUCACUGUCCAAGACGUUGGACCGUGGGCUGUUCGCCGACACACUCACUCCCUCCUUGCGCAACCCUAACUGUCAUCUAUUGUUCUUCUCAGUGUGGUGCUUCCGGUGAUCCCAUCCCGACGACCACGUGCAUGAUUGGUCGGGAGAGCAGGUGCCUCCAGAACCCCGUUCUUUGAGAUCCUACCCGGGAGAAGGGCGAUAAGGUUUUUGAGAGCGUCUCAGCACGACUGCUCCCGAUCCGUCCCCGUCUCCGUCCUCCUCUGCAUCGACUCCAUGACCGAUGACGUCGCCGCCAAGAAGAAGGACGGUAAGGUUUUUGGGAGCGUCUCAACGUGACUGCUCCCGAUCUGUCCCCGUCUUCGUCCUCCUUUGCAUCGACUCCAUAACUGAUGACGCCGCCGCCAAGAAGAAGGACGUGGACGACGUCAAGGUUGUUGUUGUCGCCGCCGCGCUUGGACCGGCCAACCGGAGGGUAUGACUUGUUCAUUCCCUAUUUACUCGUUCAUGUGCUCGCCAUAUAUGUUGUGUUCAUAGAUGUUUCGGUUCUAUGUACUGUACAUGCUCACAUGUUUAGGUAUCGAUAUGAGUUGCAUACUAUGAUGAUCAUGUUUAUUAUCUAUUUGUGGAUUAGGUUAAUCGAAAAAGUGAUAAUAUUUCCAUGAGGAGAUGCGCUAAAACUGGCUAUUUGUGGUUGAUUUCAUUGUGGCAGUAUCGCAGACUUUUGCUUUUCUUCUUCUAAAAGUCCAUCCAAGGCACUCAAAAUUGAGAACUACCAUUACAACAAAUCAAUCCCACGGGACGGAUAGGACGAGUGCCGCCCACAUCGUUCAGGCCGUUGGACCCGUCGCCGUCCACCGUGACAUAUGCGUGUUAAACCGCCGGAACCGAAGUACGGCUAUGCACGUAGGCCAUGAGCAUGACCAUGCACAUCCCCUCGAUGCUCCUCUCCUCCACCUCCUCUUCCCCGGCGCGCUUAGCAGCUGUGACCGUGAGGAGCUUGCCACGGCAGAGCGGGCACGUCGCCCCCGGCCGCGCAGCCAGCCACCGGUCGGGGCAGCAGCGGUGGAACAGAUGCUGGCACCUGAGCACCCUCACCUCGUCGCCCUCCUCCAUGCCGCCCAGGCAGAUCACGCAGCGUUCGCGCCCCGCUCCACGCUGCUCACCGCACCGCGCCCCGGGUAGCACCGUGGAGCACACCUCCGCCUCCCAGCAUUCCUGCACCGGCGGGCAGGAGGACGCCGGACGUGCCCACCCGACGAGGCGGCGGAUGGCCUCUGCGGCGACGACGACGAAGAGGGAGAAGAGGUGCAGGAGAGUGGCAACGAGGCUUGUCAUUGUGCUUAUCGAGUUGUUGUUCUCUUGAAGUGUCAAGAGAAGCAUCUUGGAGUAGCAUAUAUUGUGUGUGAGGGCGAGCAACGUCAAGAACAACUGUCGCAAACGCGGUUUCCUGUUUCAGUACACAGUAGUAACAGAGGGGCAUGUUUUUCCUUGGGUACCUAUAUCGAUUAAGGAGGUAAUCAAAGUAGAUGCAUUGCCUCUGUUAUUAUAUUCACCCACUAAUGACAAUUGCAACCAUACGGCCACACCAGCACGUUGGCCGGUUUCACGUACAUUGCACUCUACACUGAACCUGUCAGAUAAGGGUCUGCACAGCAUCACAUAUCUAGAUCCCGGAGACCCAGGGUCUAAUCAUCAGAUAUUGUAAUCAGGUGGUUAACUAAGACUGAAAGAUCUAGAGACGUCUGCCCAAAAAGGAUCCAUAAAGCCCUGUCAAAUGUUCACACCAUAGGCAGGCCAUCAUGAUAUGAGAGGGCACACACCACCAGGUUCAUUUGGCUAGUGAUGUAAUCUCCCUCUGUAAAGAAAUAUAAGAGUGUUUAGAUUACUAAGGUACUAUGGACACGAACAAGGAUCAAGCAUGCAGACUUGAAGAUCGUCAUGAUGCGUCACAGAAAUAUAGGUAACACCGGUAACCAGAACUACUCCUUCCAUCACAUAAUGUAAGAGCUAUUAGUGUCCAAAACGCUCUUAUAUUAUGGGGCAGAGGGAGUACUAAACAAGUAAAAUAGCAGACUGAAUAGAAAGAACACAACACGCAUCAAUGAGACGAUUCAGCUUCAAGUUUCUUGUCCAUACAUUCACAGCAGGAUGGUUUCGGCUAUUCCAUAGAUAGAGCAAAUGUUCCUCGCACAAACUGUUAUGUCAAUUACAGGAAUUAUUCGAUUGAGAUGCAAAGGACAUAGCUGCCAUGAAGAUUGACCGACAACCAAGAGCUUCUUUAG